rnacentral:lncRNA from 1 species
UGGUGAAGGCCCUAGGGCUGGCUACUUAAGGAUGAUGGCAUAUUAGAAUGAAACUAAAUAAAUCAAUGAAAGACACUCAAAAGUGAAGGGCUCUAAAUCAACCUCUUGCUUCAUUAGGGUAUUUUUAUCAUUUGCCCAAAAUACUCAUGUGUAAAGACUAAAGAAGAGACAAAGACAAAUACCACAUUUGUUCAAUAAUUUGUUGACAAUACAAUUGCAAAAAUUAAGGUAAACAUUUUAAGACGUGGAUAGCGCGCGUGAUUGAAAAAAAAUUCUUUUUACCAACGGUUAAUAUAAUAAAAUUCAGGCGUGUGUAGAGAGUAGUUAAUAGAAACCCAACAAAUGGAGUAAUUUACUUCUCACAAUCAUUAACAGAAACACCAUGAAAACAAAACAACUAACUAUAGUUUAUAUUGUUGGAAUGUUCAAACGCCUAUGUCCCAGCCUUCCCUACCUCCCAGUUUCCUCGAAACCAAACUCAUCAGCAUCAACUCACUCCUUCGCUUUCACCACCAUGUGGUGGCCGCCGAGGUCCGGCGGCCUUGGAAUCGCCGCCAUCGCCUAUGUGGUAGUUGACUACAUCCGCCACUUGUCGCCUGCGUGGCACGGCCGUCUUCAGCCAGCUCUCUUGUCCGGAUUCGCUCUCAUUGCCGUCAGUCGCGUGCCCUUCUACAAGCACUGGUCCUCUGAGUUUCGCUCCGUCUUUCCCUUUAUUGGUUCUAUGCUCUUUAUGCUCUUAGCUCUUCUCUUUGAAGCUCUCUGCGUUCGAUUUGUCACCGCUGCCCUCGGCCUUGAUUGGAACAGGUAUUUCUGCUUUUUCUCUUGAUUCUCUUUUUGGGUCUGUUUUGAUCUGCAUUGUUUCUUCAUUGAGCUUAGAAUAAAGCUACCCAGAUGAUGAAUCUGUUAGAAUUUGGGGUUUUGUGUUUUCUUCUGGGUUUUAUUUGCUUAAAUAUUAUGUGGGUCGAGUUUGAUUUGUGUUGUUUCUCUUGCCAUUUCGAUUGAUGCUCGUAAACUCUGAAUUAUCCAAUCAAUUAGGUCAAUUUCAUGUUAGGAUUAGUGCCAGCAUUUUAAGGAUCUGAUCAUACACUUUUCGAAUGUUGUUGGAUCAGAGAUGCCAAAUUUAGAAUUAAUACUCAGAUGAUGAUUAAACAUAUCAAAUGAAAUGUUCAUUAAUGAUAUUAUUUAUUAAUAAUUGUUCUAAAGGAGCUGCCUUUUUCCUUUUGUUUCUUUGGCUUACAAGGAAGGAGAUUUGAACUUAGUUUCUACACAUUAAUACCCAUCCUAUUGCAAUGUCCUUCCCGUGCCACUUGUUGUGUUAGAACGCAUGGACAAAGCAACUGGGUCUUACGAGUUACAAUAGCAAUUGCGGUUAAAUGUUGGUCUGGGAAAAUUUGUUCCCUUCUUCAGUUGGUGAACCCAUUGCUUCAAAGUUACUUUGUUGACUACAAUUUACAUAUAGUUAGGGUUUUCAGCCCUUGGCAUGUAGCACAUUGCAUCUGUUAGGGAUAAAAAAUGAGUUCUAAUAUUCUGCCUUAUAUUUCCAAAAACAAACAUGUGGCCCAUCCUACAUCUAAAGCACACUCUAUGCUCCAAGAGAAACAUUAAAAAUAAAAACAUUUCCUAUGCUUCUAUAGAUUCCUCGUUCCACCCUUGCAUGUUAGUCUAUACAGUAUUUUCAUAUAUUUAAGGCAAGAAUUUUUCAUUUUGAGUCUUCUAAACCUUUUUCCAGGAAUGUUUUUGGCUAUUAUCAUGAAAAUGCAAUGUCAUAAAUCUUUUAAUGAAUAAGUAUUAGAUCAUGUAAUAAAGAUUGGUCAUGUUGGAUAAGCUAUUGCAUAAAUUAUUUCAUGUGGUUGCAUCCCUGUGUAGACCAUGGUUGUGGCUGGCCUUUACAGGCUAUAAAAAUGUCCACAACAGCUCUUUAUGACGUGACCUGUGAGAGACCCUAUUGAAUGUUAGGAGAUACCAAUUGAUGUGGGGUCUUUCAAGAACCCUUUGGGCUUUGGCAAUCAAGUCAAUCAGGGAUCUGGAUCAUCAUUGGUUCGCUUGCUCGACUCCAAUAAACAGUAGCCAGAAAGUACAUGAUUCGAGGAUCCAAGGUGUACUAAAGCAUUGAUAAAAUUUAAGUACAAAAUAAAAUUUUGAUAAAAACACACAAAUAAUAAUGAUACAAUUCUGUUAGAACUUAAAAUAUAAUAUACAUCAAGUAUUUCUUUAAACUUUUCCCAGAUAUGUUAGAAAAAUGACCAAGAGACUAAAUCGCUAGAGAUACAAAUUACAUAAUAAUAAGUUGUCUUCCAGAUAAAGAAACUUGGAUUUACCUAUACUAGAAAAACUAUCAAAUUGCUUAACCUAUUGAAACAUGUUUCGUCCCUCAUAGUAUUCGUAAGUUGAGGAAGAAGUGAAAUUUCCAGGCCCGAGCUGCUCCAUGGCCAUUCAGUCAGGCUAAAGCUUGCUAGGCCAGUUGAUUGUAGACCAAAUGCUGACUCUGACAAAGUCAGGAAUAUUCAGAGAAAGAAAAAGCCAAAUGUUGAAGGAGGCUAGGGUUACUAAGGCCAUACCUUCCUAUAAUGAGAAAUUAAUAGAUGGGAUGGGCGUACCGCAGCAACAUAUAUAGUAUACAAUCUCUUUUUGAAAUUUUUAUAACUUAUGCAUAGCUCGGCACCUCCUUCCUUUCGUCCUUUAAAUUUUCCACAGAAGAUUUGUUCCGAUUGAAUGUCCCUGGUAAAAGUAUUUGUGGCUUCAUCCCUCUGUUUCUUUUUCGGCAUUGUUGUUUGGGUUCUUGCUGCACAGUUUCUAUUUGGUUCUUGUUACUGUAAAAUUGCUAUUUGCAGGCGUGUUGCUCGUCUUUACAUCCUUCUGUAAGUUAUCAAGUUUGUUGCUUUCACAACACCAUUGGAACACCUUCAUCAGCUGCCCCUGUAAGCUUCCAUCCUGUACCUGUUCAAUUUGUACACUCAAGCAUCAAUUUCCAUUUCUUUUACUCCAGUCCUUUAGUCCUUCCCUUAAAUCAUUUUCCAAAGCUUCUUUAAGGACUCAGACAAAUGAAACUCAUGGUUUCUUCCAUAAAUAUCAAGUUCUUAAAUAAGCAAUUUUGCUUCUCUCACACAUUCGCUAGUCAUCUGGAAGGUCUAAAUAUGGUUCUGUCCGUAAAGUGGCUUAAUGAUGAAAUUAUGGAGGUGCUUUCUUAUGGUUAUGCAUGUUCGCUCCAUGCCUGUUAGCGCUUAUUUGGCUGUAAAACUGUGUGCUUCAAUAUAAAUGCAAAUUCCAGUGUGAAAGUUAGACGACCACUGGACCACAAAAGCUUUAACUGUUAGGGAAUGGGUCACAGUGUAAUGUAAUAUAAACCAAACAAAAAGGAUUUGAAAAACACAGAAAAAGAUCAUGCUGAGAUUUUUUUAGUCAAUUUUGCAAAGAUAAGCAACAUUUUUCAUUUGCUCUCUUUUAAAUAAAGGCCCUGUGCAUUGUGUGAUAAUUUGAGAUUGAUAUGUGGGGUUUAUCAGAUGAUUUAUGAGUUCUGCUUUCUUAUAUUUCAUAGCAUCUUUUCGUAGACGAUACUGUUUCAUUGCUCAUGAAAUUAGCCAUAAUUUUAAACUAAGUAUUUAACAAGAGGGAAGACUAAUUGGCUUUUUUAAUGUUUGGCACUUCAGUCAUACAUCUCCUCUUCCCGACACUGGCCAGUGGUUUCUUUUGGCGCUGAAUGAGAAGCUUCCUCAUCCAUUAGUUGAAAUAUUGAGAGCCCGUAUUAUUGGACUGCACCAUUUCCUCAUGUUGUUUGUGAUGUUGGCUUUUUCCGUACUGUUUGACUCUGUGAAAGCUCCUGGCCUUGGACUAGGUGCACGCUAUAUGUUCACCAUGGCUAUUGGCCGCCUUCUUCGUGCCAUAACUUUUGUAUCAACAGUUCUGCCAUCAGCCCGGCCUUGGUGUGCUACUGCUCGUUUCAAUGUCCCUUUAUAUCCUCAUCGCUGGGCUCAGAAAUAUUAUGCUCCUUACGCUUCGGAUGCUAAUGCUAUUCGUGAGUUGCUACGACAGGAUAUAGCUUUCGGUAAGUACUCAUUAGGUUCCUUUUCUUCUUGAUCCCCCCUAGAUUUCAUUUUCUUGAUUGCAACUGUACGACCAAAAGACCAUUUACUAUCUGACCCUCUGACCCAAGUUUGGUAUGAGCUGGGCAUGAGUUAUAAAUUCCGAAGUCUUUUCCCAAUUCUCACACAUGGAUAGGGUCCUUCAUGGCCCCAUGUGAGAGUUAGGGAAAAAAAGAGUUGUGUUGUACAGCAUUUUCCUAUACAGUAUUCCUCUAAUGCCGCACCCUUUUCUACUGCAAAUACAUUCUCCUUUUAGGAUCAGGUGGCAGUAUAUGUUACAACAUGUUUCAUUUGUUUCCUGCAGCUGAUACUGGAAAAUUACUUGGGGACUUCCGGCCAGAUUGGGGUCCAAUGAGCUUCCUAAUAGAUUUCUUGCGACCCAGUGAAUCGGAUGGACCAUGGUAUAAUUUACUGAAGAAUGCUGGAGGCGGCUGCAAUGACCUCGUGUACAGUGGGCAUAUGCUAGUUGCUGUGUUGACAGCUAUGGCUUGGACGGUACUACCUAUUAUGUGUUUUGAAAUUUGUGGCCAUUGCCACUUGAUGUCUAAGAUGCAACCUACUUGUGCUGUUGAUUGUUGAUUUCUAUAAAUCUGAUCAAUUGUUGCAGGAAGCUUAUGGUGGUUUUAGCUCAGUUCUCAUAUGGUCACUUGUCGGGCAUGCUGCACAGAGAGAAAUACGGGAACGUCACCAUUAUAGUGUAGAUUGUGUUGUGGCCAUUUAUGUAGGAAUCCUGCUAUGGAAGAUGACAGGUUUUUUGUGGCCAUCCAAGGAUGCAUCCAGAGAUAGGAGGAUCACAAUGCUUGAGAAGAUUCAAAGUCGACUUACCCAAGCUGCUAAGGACUACGACAUAGAUGAAGUGAGAGAGCUUCUCAGAGGGGUUGAGUUGGGAAGUCAAGAGAGCCUGAGUAAUAAAGGGCCAAGCACGGGUAUGUGGAUAUUUGCUUGUGCUAUCAUAAUCACUGCAAUUGUCAUUGUUGUUCUCGCCUUGACAUUGACAAGCGAUGGAUAAUUUUCUGCUCAUGAUUUCCUUCCACGAUUUUAGGGGGUUAGAGCUUGUAGUUCCUUGUAUUGUAAAAUUUUGUGAAGAAUUGUUCGUGUUGUAGCAGAUUGAGGUUUUCUCAUGAUAUGUUGAGAGAAUCUUUUUUCAAAGGCAUAAAGCUAGUGAGUGGAUCUAAAAGUAAUUAAUUCGGACUCUCUGCUUAGAACUACUUAGGCUUUUAUUUCAUUCUCUUGUUAAUAUGAAUAGCUAUGAAAUGGAGGGGUGGGCACGGUCUAGUUUGAUUUCGUUCACUCCUCAAACUGAAACCGAAAAUUACACAUAGUUCUGCUCCAUUCUUCGGUUUACCGGUUUAAGUCACCUAACGUAAUGUUUGUUUCGUAGAUUUGACACUUGAGGGAAUGUGUAUUAGAUUCUUCUCCCGUUGGUGCUGCAAACAUGGGAAAGGAAGAAAUGAGCUUUUCAUUCUCGUGUUUCUAAAAUGCCCAAAAUGGGAGUUUUGCCCCUUUUUUCUUUUCUUUUUUUUCUUUUUUUUUUUGGGGGGUGAAAGGUAAUGACAAUUAUACUUUUAUAUUUGUGCUUUUUUUAAAAAAAAAAAAAAAAAUUCCUUUCGGUCUUCUAAUAAAUUUAUUUUCAUUUCCAGCAUUAAAUUCCAUGAAUUUUUAGAAUGGGAUCUCGUAUUCAUUAUAAGCAUAAUAACAUAAUUUAAAUGAGGAAUAAUGUAAUAUUAAAUUAUUUAGAGUAACAAUUACUAUACAAAUUUUAGUUUGCCAUGUGUAGCAAAAUGUUUUUUUAUAUUUAAAGUUAAAUUAAAACUAAAACUAAAAUUAACGAAACGGUGAAGGAGAGUGGAGCGUCACGCCUGUAAUAGCGCGUGAGAUCCAAUAACUUGGGAAUUGGGCAACAGCUAAAUGACCGAAUCUUCAAUUAGGUCACUACGAAAGAAAUGAACGAAUCGGCGAAGUCUAUUAAACAAGUCAACCAGCUCUUAAAUUCCCGAAAACAACCCAAAGUCAACGAGCUUUAAUUAUUCCAACAAUCGAACGGUUCGUAAUCAAGAACCUUCAUAGCUUCAUCGACCUGCAAACACAGGAUAUCAUUUACUCCUCUUGGCGAGCCGGGAGCGCUAGUGUUCUUCGCUGGAAGUAUUUUCCUUCAUUGUCUUUUCCGAUUAUCCAAACCGCAGCUGACGAGGGAAAAUUCGUGGGGAAAAAUCUCUGUGACCGGGGCAUCCAAAUGGCGGUUUCUGUUACGGCAUCCACAAUUUCUUCUUUCCGCUCUGAUCGUACGACUCGAAUAGCUGCGACUUCUUCAUCCUCUGCUUCUUGUUCAAAGCUAUCUUCAUCGUCUUCUCUGCAAGUUCCUGUACAGCUUCGAUGUGUUCGCAUCGGAAGAAGUGGAGUCUCGGCUCCCUCCCGGCCUCGGAUUCUUCCUGUGGUAAACUUUUUUCAAAUUUCCUAGUCUCAUGCUUUGUUUGUUUCCCGAGAAACUCGAGGAAUUAUACCUGAAAAUUGUGAAGCUUGCAAGUUCAGCUCUUUUAACCUGAGUUGUGGUUCUUCUUUUUCUGAAAGAAUUUUAUUUCUCUGUUUUAUGGUAAAACUUUAUUGUUUAUGGUUAGAAUUGUGUUUGACUUCACUAAUUAAUUUGAUUGUAAACACACAAAUAAAAUUACAGGGCAUAUAACUGGAAGCUGGAAACAUAUUGUUAAAAUGUUUAUAACCACAACACCAAUAACUGCUAUUACUUUGCCCCUGCUUUUUCUUGAAGUUCUGAGAAAACCAAAGACAGCAUGGGGUUUUUGGGAUUUCCAAAUAGGAGUCCUUUUUGGGAGAAGAAAGCUGAUUAUGUGGUGAGAGCUAAUAUUCAUAAAAAGGUUUAGUCAUAGCUAACUCACAGGUAGAUAGUUGGAUUAUUGAAAUUGUGAUCAUUUGAUGUCUAUAUUCUUUUUUAACGACGCGACGUAAGCAGUAGGCAGAAGGAAUGAAUUCUGACUAUUAGAAAGGUAUCCUUUUCUGUGGCUUCAUUUAAAAUUACUAUUUGCUUUCAAAUUGCAGAAUUUUGAAUAUCUCAACAUACAACUAAUUGUUUGUUUCCUUCUUUUUUUCAAAGCAUAUACCAUUCAUUGCAAAAAGUGCAAAUGUUGAUUAAAGAUGUUCACCAUACAUUGAACAAAAAACUGUUGCAUAGCAGUCUCCAUUUGAUCACUUUGUAACAAGUUUCUUCGUUUUUCCCAUGAUAGAUUAUAUAAAUAUAGUAGCCAUCUCAUUUCUCUGGACUAUAAGCCUCACUACAUGUACUUUCCGGUAUACACACCAUGGUAUGCUGACAUAAUAUGGCUUUAUCCUCCUGUCUCGCUGGCUUUUUGGUUAGGCUACUCAAGACACAGAUUUACUAUGGUACCAGAGGCCAAACAGAAAUUUUUACAGAGCUUAAGAAGGGCAUGUACUCUUUGUGGAUUAUUUUUUAAAAUGUUAGUGGGAUUAAUUUGGAAGCACUCAGCUAUCUCUAACCUUAUUAUCAGUGAACUAAAUUGGCACCAAACCUUUGAAAAAUGAUAAGAAAUCACAAUAUUGCCCCCCUAUUUAAGGUAUUGAUGUCCAUUGUCAGGUCAAUCGUCAAUGUGAAUUAUGUUGUCGUGACAAUUUGAUCUACCUUUUUGCCACAGAAAGUACCUUUUCAUGUAGACUGUUUGGGAAUAAAAUUGGGAGGGGGUGCCUAGAGAAAAAAUAAUUAAAAGAAUGGGUUGGAAGGUAUGUUAUUGAUCGAAGAAUGGGUUGGAAGGUAUAGAUUAGAUUCUAAAACUUGAAUUUUGGAAAUAUCUUGUAAAGAUUUUUUCUUUAUAUAUAAGAAGAAAUCUCUUGUAAAUAUUUGUGCUAGUGAUGUGAUGAAAGCCAUAUAUCCAACGUCAUGCAUUCAGUCACAUGCUCUUUAAUCAACUAAUUUAGCAGCCAAUUAUUCAUACCCCUCUAGUAUUGUUCCUCUUAUUGCUAUUAGCAUUCCCUCAAACUACAAGGGAAGAUUUCAUUGGGGAUGAUGACUUUUCAGUUAUGUAGUUAUUCUUCUGGAAGUUGUUGUGACUAUUUCAAUGACUUCGUUUACUGUUUCGUUGCUGUCUUUUGAAUACGUAGCGUAUCUGAAUUAGGAAGUUUGACUGAAUUGGUGAUACAUUAAUUACAUGUUUAUUUUGUAAAAAUUGAUAUUACUAGGUUGCAGCAAAGAAGCAAACAUUUUCCUCCUUUGAGGAUUUGCUGGCUACUUCUGACAAACCUAUUUUGGUUGACUUCUAUGCAACCUGGUAAGCUUUCUUGUUUAUUUCACUUUGUAUUUCAUUCAUACGGAAAUUCUCUAAUUAUGAAUAUUAGAAUGCACAAAAAGGUGCUUAUUCUCUCAUGCGUGUAAGAGAAAAGCCCUUCAUUUAAAUUAACGACAAGGGAUCGUGAGUAGAAAUGGUCCUAUAUUGUUACGAGGCUGUAUAGCCAUUUUAAUUGAUCUAUGCAGAAUGAGUUACUUUCAAACUAGUAUAACCUUUUGUAACUUUCUAAUUAUUGUUAUAUUGUCAGUAAAAACUUGACUUCCUGAACAAGAUGAUAAUUGUUCACCUAUUAGGUCCCCCUCUCUCUUCUCUCUCUCUCUCUCUCUCUCUCUCUCUCUCUCUCUCUCUCUGCCUUGAAAGGAAGGUAACACGUCUUGAGUAACAAAAUCUGCGGUUGACAGGUGUGGUCCUUGUCAAUUUAUGGCUCCUAUCCUCAAUGAAGUGAGUAUUACUCUGAAUGACAAGAUCCAGGUGGUGAAAAUUGACACUGAGAAGUAUCCUAGCAUUGCUGAUAAAUACAACAUACAGGCAUUGCCUACUUUUAUCAUAUUUAAGGAUGGAGAACCAUAUGACCGCUUUGUAAGUUGAAUUUGCUUUCUUCUUUCCUGAAAAAUACUACUUCACUUGUAUAGAUGAUUAGUUUGCCUCUGGUAGAUGAUCACAUACCUGGAAAUGUGUAAUCUAUCUCAUAAUUUCUCAUAGUGAUUGCAUCCUGUACAUAGGGCUAGAAUAUGGAGCGGUAUUGUUUUCUUUUUCUUUUUUUGAGUACAUGGAGUGAUAUUGUUAUUGUUGUUGCUGUUAUGAAUUGAUGUUAAUUUCCCUUUUUAGAUUUUGUAAUAUAACUAUGCAUGUGCUUUGGUUUGUCCAAUAUCAUCAGGUGUGUCCCUUUGCAUUCUUUUUUCAUUGUUUUGUCUGAUUUACAUGCUAAAUUAUGAAGAAUGUAUGCUUAAUAAAUUAUGUAUGUUCUCUGUGCCAUGUAUUUAAGCCAUUAUUAGAAUAAUCAUUACCAUCAUCAGUUUGAUAUUGGUUUUCUUCUUCUAAUUUGACGACUUCUUCUUUUUUCGGAUUCGGAAAAUUGAUUUCAUUCCUUGCAGGAGGGUGCUUUGACUGCCGAUCAGCUUGUCGAACGAAUUGAAACUACUUUGAAAGUUAAGCAAUAGGCAGGUGAGCUUUAUACAUUCAUGAGAGAGCUCUUAUAUGAAUCUGUUGUUUCUCUGCCCCCCCUCUCCGUUUCCUGACCAAUCUUCUUUUGUCAGUCCAGCUUCUCAGGUUGAACCGGGAAAUUGGUCUAUUCAGAACAUUGGAAGAAAUAUGGAUUUGAUAGAGGAGGGCAUGGGAAGAUCAGUCAUUAUUGGAUGUUCCUCUGCUUUUUACUCUUUGUAUGUAACUGUUUUGUACUUCGAAAAAAAAAAAGAAAGAAUUUGUUCAUCUCAUUGGUGGAUUUUGUGCGGGUAAAGCCUAGGAUUUUAUGACGACUUCUGUUAUACACAACAACAACCAAAAACAGUUUCAUUAUAUUCAAAAUCUUGAAUUGGAAAGUUGAUGGAAAUUUGGCGUGAUUGAUCAUAUGGGCCUUCAUUUGUAAUGAAAUUUACCUCAGAGUUGAGCUUGAAUUGGAGUUUCAGAUAAAGACCUUAUGUUGGAUGUUUUUGCAUAAAAAUCAGGUUCAAUUGGCAAUUGGUGAAGAGAUACGAGUCCUUUUGAGAAUUAAUUGCUUACUGCGUAUAAUCAAUUCAAAACUAACAGCCUCAAGAUUUUACGAUUGUAGCUCAAAUGAUUAAAAGUAGUUAUUCGUGUAUUUAAAUUCCUGUUCGAAUCCCCCUCCCUUAAGAUUGUUUUUAAUUAAAAAUAUCUAUAAAAUGAAGUAGCCUCUAGAUUUCUGUAUAAACCUCCCCCAAAUAUUGAUGAAUUUUUUAUUUUCUAAAUUCUAACAAUCAAAUAUGUUAUGUUGUUACAAUUUUUUUUUUAUUUUCAAAUUAUGUUGUUGCACUUUUUCUUUCAAAUUAUGCUACAUUGUUAUGUCCAGGUUGUAAAUACUAUUUAUUAAUAAUCCCUGAGCAAAGCUGCAAUGGAGAUGGAGAUGGAGAUGGAGAUGAGAGCUGAGGAAGACAUAGAGAUAGGAGAAGACAUAACCCCACCACUCACUCCCCUCGGCUUCGCUCUCCACGACUCCCUUCUCUCCUCUCACUGCUCUUCCUGCUUCUCUCUCCUGCCUCCCCACCCUUUCCCUCCUCUCCACUUUACCCCCCCCUUUCCUCAUAAUCCCCACCAUGUCCUCUCCUCCUCCUCCUACUGCUCCCCUCUCUGCUCCACUUCCGAUUCUCCCCUCCACGUGUCCAGCGCCGAGCUCCACCUCCUCCACCUCCUCCAAUCCCACCCCUCCACGUACCCCCACGGCGACUCUUCCGACCUCCGUGCCGCCCUCCGCCUCCUCCACUCCCUUCCCGCCACGGGUCCUUCCGCGCGCAUCGCCGGCCUCUUAACCAAUCACCACAAGUUCCUCCACCACGACGACCACCACAGAAUUCGCGACGGCGCCAGGGCUAUGUUCCUUGCCAGAAAGAUGCGCGACGAAGCUCCAAACGUCUGUUCCGAUAAUUCUUCUUCAGUUUCUCCAGACGACGCCGUCUUGGAGGAGGCUGCGCUGUGCCUGGUGCUAACCAACGCCGUGGAGGUGCAGGAUAAGACCGGGCGCACCCUUGGAAUUUCCGUCUACGGUCCCAGCUUCUGCUGGAUCAACCACAGCUGCUCUCCCAAUGCUUGCUACCGGUUUUUGGUGUCGCCGCCGCCGCCACCACCUUGCUCAGCUGAAAGGACGCCUCUCCGCAUUGCCCCCUUGGGCCAAGGAACACAAGUAAUCCUUGAAAUUUUUACUAUUUCCAUUUUUUCUUUUUAAUUUAGUAUUUUCAGCUAUAAAAUUCAGAGCUGUGGGAUUGAUAUUUGUUGCAGAUUGAGAGUGGUGUUUGUAGCAAUAAUGUAUUUAUAAAAGGUGUUGUGGUCCUUAUUGCUUUCUUUUCACUUCUAAUUUCUUUUGUUUGUUCGAAUUAGAGUUUGAGAUUUCCCUGUUUUGUUGAACUUUAGCCAAUAUGAAUGCAGAAUGCGUUAGUUAUGGUCCAAGAGUGAUAGUUAGGAGCAUCAAGAGAAUCAAGAAAGGAGAGGAAGUUACAGUUACCUACACUGACUUGUUGCAGCCAAAGGUAUCUUUAAUUUCUCCACAAACUGGCUUAUAGCAAGACAACCCAGCUUCUUUCUGCUGUACGGGGCUUACCCAAAUCCUUGGCGAUUUGAUUUAUCAUUUACUUAUUUCCCUAAAAAAAAUUAUUGCAUUUAUGUUCUAUGUUAAGAAGUUCUUUCUUUGUGAUCGUAUAUUUUGUCAUGAUUACCCCCAGGCAAUGAGGCAGUCAGAGUUAUGGUCAAGGUAUCGGUUUAUCUGCUCUUGUACAAGAUGUAGUGCGUCACCCCUAACUUAUGUGGAUCAGGUUUUGGAGGUGGGAAUUCAUGAAAACUUAUUGUUUACUUUCAGAAAUCGCUGGGUUCAAGCUGAUAUCCAAAAAAAUUAUGAUUGCAACAUGGUGACAAACUUCUCUAUUAUUGUUGUUGUGUGCAUCCAUUUAUUACCUAUUUGUAUCAUUCCCUCUGACCUCAUGGAUCCAUAUAGUCCUGAUAAUUUCAGCCAUGCCUACUUUUCUUCUAAAUAACCACAGUGAGGUAAAGUAACUUGGAGGGUUUCUCAUUUUAUCCCUUCCUACUGUUUGAACCUUCAACCCCGCCUUCUUGCGACUGCAUGCCUAAAAUCUAGUAGUUCUUUGGUUCAAUACUUUUUAUGAACAUGGCAGUAAUUUAAGAAUUCAAGCCAAAUGUCUGACUUAUGCCUACCCUCAUGCCUGAGUUCCAGAUUUGUGGCGCUGAAGAAUGAAGAUGGGUGUUGAUCCAAAUGUUAUUUUGAUACUAUCGCUGGUUCUACAAUUAUAUUCAAAUUCUUAAUUAAAUACUAAUUCUUAAGUAUGUUUGGAGUUAUUCCCUAAUAUCCUUAUAAUAAUGGUUUUACAGAAAUUUCCAGAUCCCACUAGUAUUGGUAUGUAUAACUUUUGUGUUUUUUUCUCCCCUUAUUUAUAUAGUUGAACAAAAGUACCUUUUCAACUUGAACAUGAAGUACCAUCCUAACCAUUUUUCUUCUAUUCUACCUGGAGAUAACUGAAUGCUCUGGUGGAGUAUCUUGGACAACUAUUAACCUUUGGCUCAAUACUCCAGGAAAUAUCUGCAGCCAAUUUCAACUCUUCCAGUUUGAGUUCAGAUAUAAACUUCAAUAGAGAUAAGGCAACCCAAAGGUUGACCAAUUACAUUGAUGAUGCUAUAGAUGACUACCUGUCAAUUGGUGAUCCUGAAUCUUCUUCUGUGAGGCUUGAGCAUGUGCUUACCCAAGGUCUCUCAGAUAAGCAGUCAGAGUGCAAGGAAGAAACAUCUCAGCUGACUUACUGGUUGCACCCCUUGCACCACCUCUCUCUAAAUGCCUACACAACAUUGGCUUCAGCGUAUAAAAUCCGUGCUACUGACUUAUCAGCUUUAUAUUCCAAAAUGGAUGAUCAUCUACUGAAUGCUUUAGACUUGAGCAGGACCAGCACAGCAUACUCCUUGUUACUUGCAGGUGCAACUCACCAUCUGUUUCGCUCUGAAUCUUCUCUAAUCGUAUCUGUUGCGAAUUUCUGGUCGAGUGCAGGAGAGUCCUUGCUAACUCUUGCUAGAAGCUCAGUCUGGAGUCAGUUUGUCCAACGGGAUCUACCUGUGUCAAACCCAAGUUCUACUGGAAAGUAUAGAUGUCCAAACUGCUCAUUGGCAGAUAAAUUUGAAACCGACUCAUUUCAUGGUCAAGUUCGAUAUGCAGAUUUUGACUAUGUAUCAAAUGAGUUCGUUGAUUGUGUCACUAAUUUUACACAGAAUGUUUGGAACUUUUUGGGUCUCGGUUGCCAGUAUCUGAGAUUGGUUAAGAAUCCUAUAGAUUUCAGCUGGCUUGGUACGGUAAGAUAUUCCAGUGUAGGGGAAGAUAUUGUUCGAUCUAGUGGCACUGAAGUGGCUUCUAAGUGUGGGGCUGGGAGAAGAAUAUCUGGAAGUGAAGCAGAGGGAUACAACAACCAGGUAAGGAUAUGUCUUUUUAAGCUUGGUGUCCAUUGCUUACUUUAUGGAGGAUAUCUAGCGAGCAUAUGUUAUGGUAAUUCCCAUUUGACUCGUAAUGUUGGUAAAAUUUUAGAUUUGGAAGAAAGCAUUGAAUCCUUGUCAUGAACCAGAUUGAGUUUUAGAACUUGCAAGUUAAAUUUAUACUUGAUUUAUUGUUAAUUGUUGUAUUUAGUUGAAAGUUAUAUGCCCAUUAAAGUUUUCUGUAUCAAUUAUCAAUGUCAGUUUGCAUGAAAAUUAAAAUUUAUAUUUUGACCACGUUUAUAUGUACAUUGUACUUGUGGUUUUCACCUCCAAUUUUAUUCUUCUUGCAUUCCUCCCCAAGGAAUCAGCUGCAAAUCUCAAAGUUAUAUAUCUGUUAAGAGCUCAUGGGUAAAAUUUGCCCACAAAACCGGCUUGUAAAGGAAGGGUGCCCAAGAGCUCUUAAGUCAUUCUAGGAUAUGCUAUUUUGUUGAUGUGGGAUCUUCCAUCCUAACAGUAUCUAGGGAUGAGAUUUGAUUUCAUUUGAUAGAGGAGAUCAAACCUCGCCAAUCUACUUCUGGAAAAAUCACGUAAAGAAAAUUAUAUGAAAGUCAAAGGUUAGCGUGUGGUAUCUAUCACAAAAACGCUUUCACAGUGGUCAUGUUAAAUAAGGAUUGAGCUUCGAUUCUUUGGAAAGCUUGCAAGAGAACAGGCAAUAAGUUAGGUGUUUGAAUAUUACGUGUACCUUUGAAUUAUGUUGGGUGGAUAUAUUAGGCUUGUAACCUAAAACCAAUUAGUACGAGUGAAUAAGGCCAAGUCAUGCUUCCUUGGUCUCUUUUUCUUUUGUCUAAUAUUUUUUUUAAUAUAAGCGAUGUUUAACUUUAAACUAAUUUAAACUACAGGGAGAGGAAUUCAAACUCGGGUGUAAAAUAAGAGCGCAUCCGCCCUAGCCAACUUGGCUAAGUGCUUGCUUUCUUUUAAUUUUGGGGUUGCAUUAUAUUAUAUAUGUCUCUCUCAAAUAAACAAGUAUAAUAUAACCAAUAUUUGUGUAAGCAUGUAUUACACUUUUGCCUGAAUAUUAAUCAGACCGAAAAAAGAAUAAACUCAUUAGUAUCAGCCGCUGCCCUGGGACCAAAUGAGCAGCUCUGGGACGUGGUGGCAUCACCGUCACCGGAGGUGGUGGUGCCAUCUCCAAAAUGUUGGUUGUGCUGGUGAUGGUGGCAGUCGUCAUGUUUAGCUAGGGGAGGAUGGUAGUACAACCGGCUGGUUUGGGGGCAAUGAGAAUAAGACCUGGAAACUAUUCUCGCGCCUUGAUCCAAAAUCUCCACAAACUUCAUCCCCAUUUUGCUCUCUUAUUAAUCUCUGUAAUCUUUGUAUGUAUCUGAGUCUCUCUCCCACUCUUGAGAAAAGAAAGGCCGAGAAAGUGAAAGAAAAUGAAGGAAAAAGAGACGAGAUUUGAAAUUAGUUGGGAGAGAGACUCAGAGAGAGAUUUGUGGUGUUCUCUGACGGUAGAGGCGGAUGUAGGCUUGUUUAUAUAGCUGCCUUCCUUCAUAUUUUGCCUAAUAUUUUUUUUUUAGGUGCUUCGUUGGUCCUUCACAUUUUUCCUGUAAAUUCCUUUUCUGGCAAUGUAUUUGCAAAUCGAUCCCUUCAUUUCUAGUAUAUUUGACUUUAGUUAUCCAUUUAUACCACAUUUCUCACACUUUUAUUUAAUUGCUUAUUUCCCUAGAUUUGUGCAAGUACGUAAAGCACUUGUACUUGUAUAAUUUGUGUAGUUUGAGUGUGAUUGCACGUAUUUUAGGAUUUAUUUCUCUAUAUGUCGGUAACAAAAUCUUGACAUAUGAAUAAUUUGUUAUAAUGGAAUGACCAAGAUUUUCCUUGUUCUUCAUAAUUGAGUUCUUAUAAAAUGUAAAACAAGAUUAUGAAAUAUUGUUGAAUGCGUUUUGUAAUAUUUUAGUAACAAAUCUGCACUUAAAAGAGUUGCAAGGAAAAGAUAAACAUAUAGAUACGCGGAAAUACAGGGGCUUAAGAAUAAUUAAAAUUACCGAUUUUACCGGGACCAAGACGCGUCAGAGCUAAGAACACGGCUUCUAAACUUGCACACAAAAUGGUCGCCUGAGUUGUGCUUACAAGCACCAACUCUGUUAUUGGUAAUUUUACAACAGAGCAAAUAAAUCCAAAAAGAUAUUUAUUUUUAUUUUUAUAGUAAGUCUAUAUUAUUACGAGGAUUUUUAUUUGUUUAUUUCUUUACUUUCUUUUGCAUCUCCGUUUGAGUGUAUGCAUUCUAAAGUUUCAAAUUUGAAAUUCUUGGUGGGACUUGUAGUUCUAAUGUAGCUAAAUAAAAUUUAGUUUAAAUUCAAAUUUGAAUUUCUCAUCCUCUCAAUUUUGUUAUUAAACCAUAAAUCUUAGUUAUUAGGGGCGUUAGUUGGAUUGGCCCAAGUCUUUGGUGUACUCAUAAGUGGUUCUGAGUUCAAACCCUCACGGUACUCUAUGUGUGUGAGUUUCACCCCUCUCCAUUCCUAACUUUAGUAACCCAAAAAAAAAAAAAAACCAUAAAUCAAUAUUCUUGUUGACACCGAAAAAUCAGAUGCUCACAUCACAUUAAAGUGAAGCCGAAUUAAACUUGACUUGCCUUAGAAGGAAUUAUGAAAAAAAAAAAUGUAAGUAGUGCCUUCACUCUAGGUUUCAAUUCCUUCAUCUCUUGCUAUCUCUUGGAUUAAACAUAUCAAUUUUCAUUAACAAGAAACUUGUAGUUCAAGUGAUUUAGAUCAAUAAAUAUACACGAGAUCCUGUAUUUUAAUUCCUCAUUCCCCAAUAGUAGCUUGUAUUUAAAAAGAAUAUUACCUUUUAAUUUUAAAAAGUUAGGAUAACUAUUAAGAUUCUUAAACUGUGUGCACAUCACUUUUCUUUCUUAACAACAAAAUAUGAAAAUAAAAAAAAUAAAAAAUUUAAAGAGGAAAUAUUUUUUAUCAUCACCCAUUGGGGCCAUCCCUUUCUUUAUUUAUCUUUUUGAAAAAGAGUACAAAAAAUAGCAAGGAAAUCAUCCGAAACUCAAAUAUGAGAGGUAGGUACAAUAGCGUAAUCUUUAAAAAAGAUUCGCGGCAUGAACCAAACACAAGGAAACAAUUUAAAAGAGAAAAAACCAAAAGAAUCUUGGGCCAUCCCUUUCCUUGGCCCACAAGAUAAAAGCCCUCCAAUUUCAUUUUUGAGAUCCGAGAAUGCAUUUUGUAGCUUAAUUAAAAUACAGUUUCAAAAAAUAAAAACAAAGAAAACGUGCUUGGUAACAUAAACAAUGUAUGUGUCACUUAUCUCAACUUUUUUGCAAUUUUCAUUGAAAAUAAAUCAUUUAAUCAGCUUGUAAGCCAAUUGUAAAAUUCAUUUUGUCCAAUCCAGAAGAAAAAAAGUGUAAAUCAACAAAUAAAAUAGAAUUAUAAUGGUUUUUAAAGGCUAAAAUUAUCCUAAACAAAAACUAAAGAGAACUGUAGCAAACACAAAAACGUCAGAGCUUCCUAGAGACCCUGGGAUAAUUGAUUUUUUCUUUGGGGUCAAUAUAAUUGAUUAUUUUAUGUUACAUCAUUAUAGUUGCUAAUGGAGAUUCUUCAAUAAGUAUUUUAUGUUAAGAAUUGGUUACAUACUUGUAAUCUCGUUCGUUGAAUUAUAUUAAUGAAAUGCAUUAGUCCAACUAUGGAAAUUAAAAAUAUGCAACUACUACUUAACUUGAAUAUUUAUUGGAGAAUUUCUCUAGUUACUAAUAUAACCAAACCACUGGUAAUUUCGAUCUGAACACCACUGGUUGUUUUGUUAGCUCCCAAAAGUCUUGGAGAAAUUUCAUUCCCUCAACUGAAAUUAGAAAGAUAAAAAAUGCAAGGAGGUGUUCCGUCGCCAAGACUCACAUCGUUGAUGUCUUUCAAGUGGGAGGUCAAUUGGCAAACGUGAUUGUGGGCACUGUGUCUGAAUCUGAUAGAUGAUGUGAGAGAAGGUAUGUUGAGUAAUUCUAGCUGGUUAUGUUUAUUGAGUACUUUGCUGCUAUCAAAUAUUUAUGAAUCUACAAUCUGGGCAUGAUAAAUCAAUGAAAAAGAGGAGUUUCGGAAGAAAAAUCUCUUAUGCCGGAAAACCAUUUUCCGUGUUUUCAUCUUUGGUCUACCGAGCGCGUUUUCCGUCUCUUCUCUCACUUGGGAAGAAAAAGACCGCACAAAACCAACUUCAAGCCUAUUAAUAAUUCUAGUCCUAUUCCUAUUCUUAUUCCUAUUCCGUCAAGGAAACCCAAAUGCCUCUCUUUAUAUUAAUCUCAUGCCUCACAACACAAACUUUGCCCUUCAUUGCAGGUUUGCAGCAAACUGUUGGAGAGCAGAGUGAGUUUUGAAGAUACAAAUACUCGCAAUAAUCACAGAAUCACAACAAUGGUGUUCAUCGCAUCCCCCAACCACAAAACCCUAACCCUAAACCUAAACCCAAACACCACCACCCUCCAAGCUCUGAAAUUCCAAAUUGAACAAAUUUCCAACGUACCCAUCUCUCACCAGCGCCUAUUCAUCUCCCAAAGCCUCCAAUUGUUGACCCAAAGAGACUCCACCCUCCUCGCUGACCUUGGCAUCAAACCCUACUCUACCCUAACCCUCCACGUCCCCUUCUUCGGUGGCACCCUACCCCACAAAAAUCCCAAACCCCGCCUUGAUUUCCUCAAUUCCAAGCCUCCUGAGGGUUAUGUCGCUGGGCUUGGCCGUGGUGCUUCUGGGUUCACCACAAGGUCCGACAUUGGGCCUGCCCGAUCUGCCCCCGAGCUGCCCGAUAGGGCAAUUGGGCAGCUUGAGGAAGCAGGGGAGGAAAAAGGGUACGAUGAGAAUCAGCAAUUUGAUGAUUUUGAAGGCAACGAUGUUGGGUUGUUGGCACCAGAUGCCAAACUGGAUGAAGAUGAUGAGAAGGCUGAUGCAAUGUGGAAAGCAGUUGAUGAGAGAAUGGACUCCAGGAGAAAGGACAGGAGAGAGGCUCUGUUAAGAGAAGAGAUUGAAAAGUACAGAGCUUCCAAUCCCAAGAUUACAGAGCAGUUUGCAAGUUUGAAGAGGAAUUUGCACACAUUGUCUGCCCAAGAAUGGGAGAGUAUACCUGAAAUUGGGGAUUAUUCAAUGAGAAACAAGAAGAGGAGGUUUGAGAGCUUUGUGCCGGUGCUGGAUACCCUUUUGGAGAAGGCAACGCAGGAGAAAGAGCUUGUUACUGCAAUAGAUCCCACUAGUACAGAUUUGACUGCCGUGAGGCAGGGCAGAGAUAUAGUGUUGUCUUUGAAAUUGGAUAGGAUUUCGGAUUCUGUCUUGGGGUUGACAGUUGUUGACCCAAAAGGGUAUCUUACUGAUCUUAAAAGUAUGAGCAUCACAAGUAAUACAGACGUUCAUGAUAAAAACAAGGCUAGAUUGUUGAUGACGAGUUUAAUGAAGUCAAAUCCUAAGAACCCACGUGUGUGGAUUUCGGCAGCAAGGUUUGAGGAAGUGGCAGGAAAGAUGAAGGCAGCCAGGAAAUUGAUUCAGGAAGGGUGUGAUGAGUGCCCUAAGAGUGAGGAUGUGUGGUUGGAGGCUUGUAGGCUUGCUAGCCCCAAAGAUGCUAAGGCUGUUAUUACUAAGGGAGUUAAAUUUAUUCCCAAUUCAGUCAACUUGUGGAUGGAGGCUGCGAAAUUGGAGCGUGAUGAUUUGAACAAGAGCAGGGUCUUGAGGAAAGGGUUGGAACACAUUCCUGAUUCUGUUAGGCUGUGGAAGGCGGUCGUGGAUCUAGCGAAUGAGGAGGAUGCUAGAAGUUUGCUCAAAAGGGCUGUGGAGUGUUGUCCAUUGCACAUUGAAUUCUGGCUUGCACUCACAAGAUUGGAAACUUAUGAGAACGCCAAGAAGGUCCUCAAUAAGGCAAGGGAGAAUCUAUCGGAGGAGCCUGCAAUUUGGAUCACGGCAGCAAAGUUGGAAGAAGCUAAUGGGAAUGUGUCCAUGGUUGGGAAGAUUAUUGAAAGAGGUAUAAGGGCUUUGCAAAAAACAGCGGUUAUUAUUGAUAGAGAAGCAUGGAUGAAAGAGGCUGAAGCUGCUGAACGUGCAGGGUCUAUAAUGACUUGCCAAGCUAUCAUUCGGAGCGCAAUUGGGAUUGGUGUGGAGGAGGAAGAUAGGAAGAGGACAUGGGUUUCUGAUGCAGAGGACUUCAUGAAAAAAGGUUCCAUUGAAACAGCCCGAGCAAUUUAUGCGCAUGCACUUACUGUCUUUUUAACCAAGAAGAGCAUAUGGAGGAAAGCAGCUCAGCUUGAAAAGAGCCAUGGUUCUAGGGAAUCUCUUGUUGCUUUGCUUCGUAAAGCAGUGACAUAUUGCCCACAGGCUGAAAACUUGUGGCUUUUUGGUGCUAAGGAGAAGUGGCUUUCAGGGGACGUGCCUGCUGCCCGUGCAAUCCUCCAAGAAGCUUAUGCUGCCGUUCCCAACUCUCAAGAAAUUUGGCUUGCUGCGUUUAAACUUGAGUUUGAGAAUCACGAAUCCGAGAGAGCUAAGAUGCUUCUUGCCAAAGCCCGAGAAAGGGGAGGUAACGAAAGAGUAUGGAUGAAAUCUGCAAUUGUUGAGAGGGAAUUAGGGAACAUUGAUGAGGAGAGGAAGUUUCUUGCUGAAGGCUUGAAGCGCUUCCCAUCAUUCUUUAAAUUGUGGUUAAUGCUUGGACAGCUAGAGGAACGGCUUGAUCAUUUGGAAAAAGCCAAAAAGGCCUAUCACUCAGGUCUGAAGCACUGCCCCAAUUCUCUACAACUCUGGCUUUCUCUCGCUAAUCUAGAGGAGAAAAUGAUUGGGCUGAGUAAAGCUCGCGCAGUUCUCACAAUUGCCAGGAAGAAGAACCCUCAGAACCCUGAACUGUGGCUUGCUUCUGUUCGAGCUGAAUUGAGGCAUGGCAAGAAGAAGGAAUCUGAUAUUUUGAUGGCAAAGGCUUUGCAGGAGUGUCCCAAUAGUGGUAUCUUGUGGGCAGCAGCUCUCGAGAUGGUAGCUCGUCCCCAACGGAAGGCAAAGAGUAAAGAUGCCCUUGAGAAAUGUCGUCAUGAUCCCCAUGUUGUUGCUGCUGUGGCCAAGUUAUUAUGGCAUGACAGGAAGUUGGACAAAGCUAGGAAUUGGCUCAACAUGGCAGUAAUGUUUGCCCCCGAUAUUGGGGAUUUUUGGGCUUUAUACUACAAAUUUGAACUUCAGCAUGGUACUGAGGAGAACCAAAAGGAUGUAUUGAACAGAUGCAUUGCUGCAGGGCCAAAGCAUGGAGAAAAAUGGCAACCUAUUUCAAAGGCCGUGGAGAACUCCCAUCAACCAAUUGAAGCUAUCUUGAAGAAAGUUGUGGCGGCAGCAGAAAAUAAUAAACAGUAGUUCUGCUUAUCAUAGAGGUAUAAAAAUUAACCUGUGCUUCUGAUUUUUGCUACUUAGAAGUAGUUGGUGGACAAACUAUGCUGAUGUAUAUCUAUCCCAGAAUUUGGAACUGCAAUUGUUUCACAUCUUAAUUAUAUGACUGUUUCCUCCAAAAGAUUUCCAUUUGAUUGCUUUUAUUUCAGUUCAGCUCUGCAUCCAUUUGUUCUGACUUGAAAUCUGUCUAGAUAAAGAAGUUAUUUUUAAUAGUUCUUGAAAUAUUACAGGGGAUGGAAAAACAGAAAUGUGACAGUGGAUGCAUAUGCAGUUAUGCUUGAUCGAUUUGUUUAGCAGAAUUCGCAAAUGACUUGGCAAUAGUUGCGAACAUGGAAGUCACCAUGCUGUCAUAGGGAAGUUGGAUUAAUCUGCCUUGGGAUACAUGAUAUUAGUUGGAUCAAUUAGUUUCUUUCUUUCUUAUCCUAAAUUUUCCUGUUAAUUUAUUACCUCCAGGCAAUGAGGCAGUCAGAGUUAUGAUCAACGUAUCGGUUUAUCUGCUCUUGUAGGAGAUGUGGCCUAACUUAUGUAUAUGGACAAUGCUUAGGAGGUAAAUUCAUGAAAGCCUAUUAUUUAUUAAUCCAAACUUUCACAUAUAAUCAGAAAGAACCCAGAAGGCUAAACUUCUUUUGAUUUUAGCUCCCCUAUAAUAUGAUCUGUUAUUUUUUAUUUGGGAAAAAGCUUAUUCUUCUACAGAAUUUUUUUGAGUUUUUCUAGUAUAUUAAUACUUAAAUCUGGAUUUUUUAUUCCUUAUGUACUUUUUGCUGGUAACUUUGAAGAGAAGUACCUUUUUCAAAUUUGGACCAUGAACUGUCUCCUAACCAUUUUUCUCCCAUUCUACCGCUCAGGACUUAAUGUCCAAAACUCAGUUUUGUGAGUAUUCUGACGGAGUGUAUUGAGCAAGUACUAUAACCUUCAGCUGCAACCCUCAAGGUAAUAUCAGCAUCCGAUUUCAACUCUCUCUCUUUUGAGGUCAGACAUAAACUUCAAUGGAGACAAGGCAACCGAAAGGUUGACUUAUUACAUUGGUGAUGCUAGAGUUGAUUAACUCCGGGAAAACUCUCGUUUGAUAUCUGGGACGUCAACUCCUGGUUAUGAAAAGCCAUAUUUGGGUGUUGGGUUUGGGUGUCAUGAAUUUUUUUUUUUCUUUCUUCAAUUUGUUCUAAUUUUGUAUUUAUUUUAACCCUCUUUUUAUUUGUUAAUUAUGAAAAGUCAUAUUUACCCUAAAUUUUGGUUAAAUCUAAUAGAAAAUUAGACGGUAUGACCAAUUUGCCGAAUAAUAUAGAGUUGAUGGACUAUUUAAACGAAUAAUUUAAUUGAGGGAUCAAAAUGUAAAUUGAUUAGAAGUUUGAGGACCAUUUAAGUAAAUUUAUUUAUUUAUUUAUUUUUGUGGUAAAAGAAUACUAUAUUCUAGUUAGCAUUGUAUUAUAUAUUCAAUCACAAUGACAUAGAUGAUAUGUUUACCAUAAUGUAAUAUAUAACGCAUGAUGACUAAAAUAGUAAUAGUGCAAUAACAGUUCAACAAGUUCAGCAUAUUUUCAGAGAAGUUUUUUUCGCAGUGGAUGCUUUUAGGGGUGGGCACUCAAACCGGCGAACCGGAAAUCCGAACCAAACCGCACCGAACCAAACCGGAAAAAAAUCGAGUUGACCAAAAAGUCAAAAACCGGUCAAAAACCGAACCGGACCGGUUUGGACCGGUUCCGGAUCCGGUUUCAUGUCUUCAAAAACCGAACCGGGCCAAACCGAACCGGUGAAACUAAAAAAAUAUAUAAUUUCAAUAUAUAUAUUUAUAUUUAAUGCUAUAUUUUUAAUUUCACUAAAAAAAACAUAAUAUUUAUCCAAGUUCAAUGUCAAAAUAUCUCUAUUUUCUCACUUUAAUAUUUAUUUUUAUAUGAAAUUGAAUAAUUUGUUAAUUUUUAAGUAAAAAAAUAAUAUUUCAGUUGAGAAUUGUAUUAAAAAGUAAUUUAAAAAAAUAAUUUUUAUAAUCCGGUUCAAAAUCGAACCGGAACCGGACCGAAACCGGUUCAAACCGAACCGGACAGUUUUUGAAAUUUUUUUUAUUAAAACCGAACCGAAUCAAACCGGAUGAAUAGUAUUGGAUCGGUUCUAAUUUGAGGCAAAAACCGGUCCAAACCGAACUGUGCCCACCCCUAGAUGCUUUAGCUCAAUUGAGACAGUUUACUACUUAACCAGACUAUUUGGUUUUCAAAUCUUCCUUUUUCUCUAAGUUACAAAUUUGUUCUACGAUCUUUGGAAAGUAGUGCUGUAGUGGACUAACCAUGUGUCCACUUUUAGAAAAUUGUACGGUUUCUGUUUUGGGGUCUGAAACUGAGGCCGAACUAAGUACAAUUGGUUUAGUCCAAAAUCACGAAGAUAACCGAAUCAAAUAAAACCAAUUUAAGAUGGUUUGGGCUUAUGUUCAAUUCUUUUUUUUUUUUUUUUUUUUUUUUGUUUUUUAUGAAACAGUAGUAAUUCAAUUGAAGAUACAUGGCACAAAUCCAGGAUACAACAAUAAGAACACAGCUCCGAAAGGAGGUUCUUGCAAUACAGACUGUAACAACACCAACUAAGUACAAGUAUUACAAGAUAGUUAGAAAAUAAAUAUACGACUUGAAACCCAGCUAACAAGGAGUUACAAAGGACCCUAAUUUUGCAGCAAAUAGUGCUUAAAAAAGAUCAAGAUAGAGAACAAACUCUCAAACUUCAUGGGACAAGAAACACCCCAAGAGUGGAGGGCAUAACCGCUCAACUUCCACUAGGACAUUCCAAAUAAUAUCACAGCAUCUCCUAAUCCCCCUUGAUCCCCAAGCACAAUAAAAGUAGAUCCAUCAAAUUCAGCAGCUCCACCUCCAGUACAGAGAGAUCUAACACUAGAUCUACCGCACAAGUAGCAGAUCUAGCAAGAUCAACCAAUAACUAGCCCCAAAAGAUUGGGAAACAAACCCUCAAGAAAAGGGAAGAAACAAACCCUUACAACAGCAAGGAGCAAACAAAACCCAACAAAAGUUGGGAGGGAAAACCUCUCCACAACAUAACGGGGGGGAGAGAGGCCCGGAUUAUUAACCGAAGGGGAUGGUUCCAGGGGAGAUCCCCUAGAACCAAGAAGAAUUGCAUAUCUGGAGAAGAAACGAGACGGAGUAUAUUCAAUUAUCUUUCCUUUUGCAUUUUUUUCAAUAUUGUUAGUCAUUACAACCUAAAAAAUUCACAACUUGCUACAUAUGUAUUUUAUUUUAUUUUAAUCAUUUUCUAGCAUAUAAAACCACCCUAAAACUUCACUUCCCAAAGGUCCAUCAACUUCAAAUUCAUAUCCAUAUAUGGUUAUUUCUAACUUGCUUGCCAAUAGGAUCUAGUCUAGUGGAAAAAGGGUCUUGAGUUGCAUAUAAGAGGUCUCAGGUGCGAAUCCCCACGGCAUCAUAGUUGUGUCUGUGUGUGCCGUUGGCAUGCUUUUUAAAAUUUUCAAAUAUGUUAUAGUUUUCUUCAUAUUUACUUGUAAUGUGUUUUGUGAAGUAUUAAUUAUUACAUGUAGCGAAUCAGUGAUAAGUAAACGAUUAAUAAAAAAAUAAUCAGAGUAAUUUCUGUUCUCUUUUUCUUUCAUUGGUAAACCAAGCAUAUGGGAUAAACUAACGUCUCCAAGAUGAAGAACAUCCACAUGAGCAAAUUAUUUUUGUUGUAUCAAUCACAUAUGUAGAAGCUUCAAUCAAGAAGAAAGAUAAAAUGACAUCAAGCUAUCUCGUCUUUUUUGGUUUGGUUUGAACAAAAAGUUACCUCUGAGUUCAAACGUAGAAACUUUGUUGUCUGUGGAAGCAUUUGUUGGUAUUUUCAUAUUCUGAGAUGGAUGUUGUAUCCUUCCAUUAGUUCUGUUCCUUUCUUUUUUAUAUGUCACUGCCCAAGUUUUGAAAGAAAAGCGCAAGGCCACAAUGAACCAAAAACAGUGAAGGGCAGGCCUCCAGUGGCUGAGAAGUUACCUCCCAAAUGCACAAACAUAAUGUUUAAAUAUACAACAUUACAAUGAACAAGUUCAUAAUGAUAAUAAAACCAAAAGUCUUAAAAUUUGAACCGAUUGGCCAAUGGAGUCUAGUCGAGUGAAAAAGGGUCUUGACAAGUAGACCAGAGGUUUCAUGUUUGAAUUCCCACGGCAUCAUAAUUGUGUGUGUAUGAGAAACCCCCUUCUCUUCUAGUUUAGACUAUCGCUUGUACUUCAAAAAAAAAAAAUUGAACUCAUUAAGGUGUGGAAAAAAAAGUUUCAGUUAAGAACAAUGAGAGUAAAAAAUAAAUGCACCAUUGAGAAUUCAACCAAAAAAAAAAAAAGGACAACUAUUAGUUUGUGGUUGGGCCACAUUAAUAGGCAAUGAGUAGUUCCUCUAUGGGCAAGGAAAAUACUUCUCUUCUUACCAGGUAAAUAGGAGCUCCUACAGUCUUGUAAAUAAUAGUGUGACAUGUGUGCGUGUUUCUUUUUAUGUUUUUAAUGAAUUAUUUUUGCAUGUGUCAAAUUGUGAUUCAUAGAAAGGAAGAGCAUCUCUUUACCGGCCAUCAUUCCUGUGGGAAUGUGAAAUGUAGAAUGUAGAAUGAUCCUAUAUGAAUUCUAAUUCCUCUGAAAAUACCAGAUAAAGAAAUUUCUCAGCCAUUGUGCACUUUUUGCACAGAUCUUCAUUCUCAAAUCAGAUUAAAAAUUUUACAAAGAAAAAAACAUCAUUCCUCAACUCUCACGUUAAUGAAUUAUGUUAACACAGCAAUUGUUACGCAUCACAGUAUACACAUGGCAGCUUACGGGUUAUGAAUUCUUCUGCAGCUUAUUGAUUAGGAGACCUUGAGGGCUUUGCCUUAUACAGCUUGUGGUGUCUGUUUUUGAUUAUUCUGUUAUUAGUUCUCUGUUUCUAGGGCUGUUAUUAGUUUAUUUCUGUUUUGUGUUGUUUAAUUAUUCUGUUUUUGUUAAUAUCAUGCUUUAGGAUUGUAUUUAGGAUUUUUUUGUUUUGUUAAUAUCAUCUGUAAGUUUCUGUUUUUGGUUAAUAUCAUGUUUAAUUUUCGGUUUUGUUGGGUUGAGGUGCUGUUUUUAGACUUUUUCUGUUCUUGGACCUUUUCUGUUCAGUAUGCGACAGUGGUCUGGUUGUUAUGCAUGACAUAAGUAAAAUAAGGGUUCUCUAUUCUUCUUUCCUUUUCUUUUUGAUCAAAUCCCAUUUUUUAUUGAAUGAAUCUGUUUCUUCAGCACGGUUCUACUGUUUUAUUUUCCUUAUAUAUAUCACAAUAACUGCCCAAGUUCCUGAUAUUUUUCCAUAAGCCACUGUUGAAAUCAAAAGAUGAAAUUGUUAAUUGAGAACUGUGGUAUUGUGGAUUUCGUGAAAAUUAGAUUUCUAGUGUAAAUGUUUGUGAGAAAGCCUGUUGCCAGAAAUGUUGGAUUUCAUGCGAGAACUUAGGAAGGUACAUCAUCCAUUACCAUCAAAGUGUCUGCUCUGUUUUUUUCAUUUUGGUGGUGGGUGGGAGUCUGUAAGUUUUUGUGCAUGAUCAAAAGCCUUGUUGACUGCAGGUUGUAACAGUGGGCAUUGUGGAAGGGUCUGACCUUUCUAAGAUAACAGAGCAGCUUGGGAAGACAGGUGUGUACUUUUUGCUUAUAGAAAAUAUAAUUCCAAAUGUAUUGGACAAUUAAUUUUGCAUAUGAUACAUCAAUUCAUGCAGUUGUUGUUAGAGCUCAAGUUUAGAUAUUUACUUAUUAUGUAUGCAUAUAUAUACCUCUCAGAAUCAAUUUGUUUAUAUUGGAUCUUGACAACCAAGGAGUUUGAAGGUUUCUGCUUUCUGCCAAAAGAAAAAAAAAUCUAAGCUCAGCUAUUCAAAUUGUUUGGUUGCAUGUAUUGUUGGCCUUUAAAUUGUCUUGGUGAAUCAUAUGCUAAAGGCUGGGGCCUUGUUCCAUUUUCCUUCAACUCUUAGAUAUCCUUGAGUGUUAGUUCCUCAGGAAUAUUAUGGACACAUGCUUAGCAUACAGUGUCCUCAUUAAAGUGAUGUGUUUGAAAUUGAUUUUGUGAAGUUAACACACUCAUACACUGUCAUGGAUCCUUAUGAAUCCAUUGUGUGAAGUUGAUUUUCUUAAGCAUCAAAUGGGCAAAAGUAUGCUCUGAUGGAGUAACCAUUAUUUGUUUCUGAUAGGAUCCAUGACAGUGUUGCAUUCCUUUUCCUUUUCUCCUGCAUAUUUUUAUUUGUUUCUUUACUUGGUAAUUACUCCAAAUUGAAUGAUUUUGCGUUUGGAAUUCUGUAGAGCUUGAAGACAUUUCUUGGAGAAGAGAAGCUGAAGAUAAAACCAUGCUCUGUUGUAUGCUAUGAUUCUCAAGUUCCUUAUUUGAAAGAUACCUAAGGUGUCAAACACAGCAUGUACGAAGAACCUGGAAACUUAAUCAAAUUGUUCUUGAGAUUGAUUUGCGAUGAUCUGUACACAAUUCUGCAGGAAUUUAUCAAUUUUACACUUCAUUAUAUCGCAGACUUGGACAUACCGAUAAACCGCAUUUCGCUCAAAGGGUUGAAGGGAGAUAGUGCAUCAAACUGUUCGCAAGGGCCAACUUGAUCCGGAGGUUAAUGGAGUGGAAGCCUUGUUAAUUCUUAAGCUAUUUAUAGUUAACUUAUACUUACAUUGUCAAUUGUAACUGUAGGGGUACAUUUAUAGAGUUCUGAAGUGGGAUGCUUAAUGUAUCACCAACUGGGCGAAACUGUAGCCAAGAAUAAAGGGAUGAAUUUGAAAGAUAUGACAAGGUUAGACACUUAACCAAAAAACUAAAAUUGUGAGUGCAUGUUCAUUCGAAAUGAUAUGGAUUUUCUUUUUCAUUUGUAUAUAACUUGAAAGAUGAUAUUUGGUCUGCAGGUUCAGAACACACGCCCAAAAAUGGUAUCCGUCCUUCGUGAGAAGUUUGCUCACCUUAACCUGACAUUUUCCAUAGGAGGACAGAUAAGCUUUGAUGUAAGUAAUAGUUGAUAUUCAUUUAUGCUUGAUGAUUACUGGACCAGUCCUUUAUCUAUCCAUCUUAACUUUUGCUUGUCCUCUCCUUGAAUAGUCUGGUAAAGGUCGUUGGGAUGACAUUUGAAAUUGAAAAUGGAUGGUUUUCGAUGCUUGUAACAGGUUUUCCCUCCAGGUUGGGACAAGACAUACUGCUUGAGAUACCUAGAGGACUUUCAAGAAAUUCAUUUCUUUGGUGACAAAACUUACAAGGUUAGUCCGUAAUUUCGGGGCUCUCUACCCUCUUCUUAGUCACAUGGUACCAUUUCGGCAGCUUCCUUUAUGUUAUUUCAUAAGUUCUUUUUUCAUGUUCUCUGUUUUACAUUUAGAUUUCUGGCAUGAAAUUUUCUGUUUUACAUUUAAUACUUCCUUUAUCUGGGCCCUAAAUCUUGUGACUUUCAUCUUCUGCAGGGAGGAAAUGACCACGAAAUUUAUGAAUCUGAACGAACCGUAGCUCAUACAGGUAAGCUCUCAUUUCAGGUCGAAGUUACUUAGGGCCGUCUUAUCAUUGAUGAGCAUUUCCAACAUUUAUCUGAUGCUCUACACUUUUUGCAGUUAUCAGCCCUGAAGAUACAGCCAAGCAGUGCAAAGCCGUCUUCCUGAGCCCCCGAUAUCGUUCCAACUUUUCGGUUUUGUGUUAUACGCCAUUUUCAAACAAGAAUAAGUUAUAUGCCAUUUGUAAUUCUGUAUUUGAGAAUAAAUGUUAAGCAGAAAUCUGAAAUGUGUAGUAUUAUUAUUAGACACAAACAUAUUGGUUCAGAAAUUGCAUUUUUUGCAUUGUAUUUUUUGUACCACUGGUUCCCUAUAUAUUUAAAUCUAUCUUGGAAAGGAUUAUUCACUUUUGCACUUUGCUUCUGCUAGACUUGCUCUAUACUAAAGAAAGAUGUGUGCAGUUGGAUGGUUGGUGCAGCAUAAGGUUAUUAAACUAAUCAUCAUCCUCAUAUCAAAGAGCUAUAAUUCAAUUCUCUCCGAUCCAACCACAUUCAAAAUUUUAAAUUGCACAAUACCAAUUAAUCAACAUACAAAUAAGACUAUAAAUCAAGAGAAAAUCCAAGAUUUUCAUUCUUACACACUUUUUUUUUUUUUUUUUUUUUGCCUAAGGUAGGAAGGGGAGGGGGGAAAUUUACACAGGAUAUCAUGGGGGUUUGAAUCCAAGACUACUUGAGCAUACCAAAGGUCCAGAACCUAUUCUAAACUUAACCCAUUUGAGCUAACUCAAGUUCUUAAUAUUAGACAUUUUUUAGCCUCCAUGAUUGUCUACUUUGGAUUAAAAAAAGAAAAACAAAUGGUGCCAAGAAUCAUCUCAUUAUAAGUCAAGCAAAUGCUUCAUUUUCUGUUAAAAAUAAUAAAUUUCUAUGACAUAGGAAAAUAUUUCAACAAAAAAAAAAAACAAAGAAACAGUCGCACAAAAUGAAAUGAACCAUAAGAAAGAAUGCUCAUUAAAAAAUAAAAAUAAAAACUUAAAAAUGGAAAGUGUUAUAGUAAUUGUGUCUUAAACUGGAUGUAAGAAGAGCACUGAAUCGUUGUUGAGACACUAAAAACGUUGUGUUUAGUUCCAUCAUAACAAUCCACGGCUGCCGCUAACUGGCGGACCCAAUUAAAGACAACUGUGGGUAGCUUCCCACACUUACCAAAAAACACUUCAGCCAUAUAAUCCCACUUCAAUUCAUAAUUUUUAAUUAUUUUUAGGCCCUUUCUAAGUAAAGCCCCCACAUAGCCCAUUCAAUACACACUUAAAGCCCAAAACUUAUAUUAAAAAAGAAAAAUCCUAAACUCUAUGUUAAAAAAGAAAAAUAGAGAUCCCACCAAGUUCACUCAUUCUGUAAUUUUGUGGAGAACUCAGCCACCAAACUCGUUAUUUGACAGAAGUCUACAGCCCAACAAAUCAAACUCACUACUUUAAUUGAUUUUACAAGUUAGCACUUAGUUAUUUUUUACAAACUAAUUUCAUUAUAUUCUUAUUUAUAUGCAUUCAAUUUGUAUUGAUGAUUGAUUUUAUUAUAUAUAUAUAUAUAUAUCUUGAUGAAAAAUAAUAUAAACUAUUUAUGAAAGUUAUGGAAAAAUAUUUUAAAAGAAAAUCCGAGUUGGAGUUGUCGGGACCUAUUGGGAGAAGUGAUGAUAGUUCAAAGCAAAGUUGCAUAGAAAUCAAUAUGUCAGAUCUUCAUUCUGAUCCUGGUUUACGAACUCGGAUUUUAGAUUACAAUCCGAACAUUCGAGAUGAAAUUAGAAGAGCUUACUUACAAAAAGGCCCUUGUCAGCCUAGAAAUCAUGAUUUCCCUCAAAAGAAAUUUGGAAAAGAGUCAAGACGAUUCAACCCAGCAUGGUUUGAUGAAUUCCCUUAUUGGUUGGAAUAUAGCAUCAAAGAAGAUGCUGUAUUUUGCUUAUGUUGUUAUCUUUUUAAAACAAAUUUGGGAGAGAAAGCUGGAAGUGACUCAUUUUUUGGUACAGGUUUUUCAAAUUGGAAGAAAAAGGAAAGAUUUCAAGUUCAUGUUGGAGGUCCCAAUAGUUCCCAUAACCAAGCUCUGAAAAAAUGUCAAGCCUUAAUGAAUGAAAAACAACAUAUUGAAAAUGUUUUCCAUAAGCACUCACAUCAAUCUCGAAUUGACUAUAGAAUCAGAUUGAAUGCAUCUGUUAAUUGUAUUAGAUUUCUUCUACAACAAGGUCUUGCCUUUCGUGGCCACGAUGAGUCUGAGGAUUCAAGCAACCAAGGUAAUUUUCUUGAGCUUUUGCAAUUUCUUGUUGAUCACAAUGAGGAAUUUAGAACUGUUGCUUUGAAAAAUGCUCCUGAAAACCUUAAAGUAACUUUACCUAAGAUUCAGAAAGACAUUGUAAAUGUUGUAGCAGUUGAAACUACUGAUGCUAUUAUUAGAGAUAUGGAUGAUGCAUUCUUUUCUAUUUUAGUUGAUGAAUCUCGUGAUGUAUCAGUAAAAGAGCAGAUGAUUGUUAUGUUUCGUUAUGCAGACAAGAAAGGAUCUGUGAUUGAACAGUUCAUAGGUAUUGAACAUGUUACAAAUACCACAGCUGAGUCACUUAAAGCAAGUAUUGAUGCAUUAUUUUCUAGACAUAAAUUGAGUAUAUGCAGAUUACGAGGUCAAGGUUAUAAUGGGGCUAGUAAUAUGAGUGGAAAGUUCAAUGGUCUGAAGACACUUAUUAUGAGGGAGAAUGAGUCUGCUUACUAUGUUCACUGUUUUGCACAUCAACUUCAGUUGGCUAUUGUGGGUUUGGAAAACCUUAGUUUUAAACCCAGAUUUCUUCUUCCUCUCGAGAAUGUUUCGAACAACCAUUUUCAGACAACCAUUUCUCCUCUGUCUGGCCACCAAAUCGAGUGCCACAACUUGCAAACUCUUCACCUCUCUCUCCUCUUCCCAUACAUACUCAUAUCCAGCCUUGAUUCCAAGCGAAUCAACCAGAAAAUCGAGCCAAAAUUGAGCCCAAAAAGGGGCAGCUUCGAACCCAGAAAGUUCGAGGUAUUUUCCGACAGAUUCCAGCCGCCAUAGCUCAGGUAAUUGCACCCAAACUACUCUCCUACCUUCCCUUUGUGUUAUUCCUUCAAAACACAACGUGAAUCCAUUCCAAUUUCUUUGAUUUUGAAACUAAAUUUUUUUAGAUUUUUUAAGAGACAGAAAGCUUCGUUCGAGAGCUUUAAAGUUUGAAUUGAUCGUCGAGCUAAGGUAUAAAGUUACUCCCCUUGAUGUGCUUAAUCCGUAGGUGUGAUUAUUGGCUGGCGGUUUGGAGUUUUUCGAUAGCCGAAAAAUUGCUCAAUGCACCCACUAGCGGUGGCAGCGCGUGGCAGCGCGUCACCGGGGUGUCAAUGUUAGGUUUUUAUCCUAGAAUGAUCCUCGUGUUGUCACGAGCGCAUAGGAAUUCGCUGAUCUUAAUUUGGAUAACGUUUGAAUCCCGAACGGAUCUCGCAUCUUGUGUGAUUUUCGGGUUCAAUGGUUUUGAACCAUUGAUCGUGCGAUUGUGACCAAACCAACCGUCCAUUUCAGACCAGACUCAUGGGACUUGUGUCCUAGGUUUAAAGGAACGUUAAUGUGGGCAUAGGAGUAACUUUAAUUGGAUGCAUGCACUUCUAGGAGCUAGGAUUUUAUUUAAAUAUUUAUAUCGAGCAGUUUUAUUAAUAUAUAUAUUAUUAUGGUAAUUGAAUCAGGCAUUCGAGCACCAGUUGACCCGCAGAAAGGACCUCCAAAAGGUCCAGCGAGCUCAGACCAGCUGUGAGUGGACUCUUUAUUUUCAUAAAUGAAUUUAUGCUAUUGAGUUACAGUAUUUGAUCUUGAAUCAGUUUUAUUCAAAGAUUAGUGUUUUAUUAGUUGAUGUAUGCUUUUAAAUGUUUUGAAUUCACAUGCGACCGAGUGAGAUAUCUUUUAUGGAUAUAGGAAAAGGAAAUUUUAGCUAAAUAACAAAUAAAUGGCAGCAAAGUUCUAGAUUUAACAGAAAUUCAGUUAUUUAUCAUAUUUUUCAAAGAUUUUAGAUUUUCUUAAGCCACCUUAGGUACCCAGUUAUAGAAACAGGUUGCCUUCGGAUAUGACGAUGUCCACGGACAUCCAGGUUGCCUUCAGUUUUGUCAGCGUGCUUGACAUCUGCCUCACGAGUUUCGGGGACGCCGGAAUCGUGGGAGCCAAGACUGCGGAUCAGGCUUACUACGGUCCCCUCAAUUCUGCCAGUUUGCGGCUCGGGUUGACUUUGUGUCACCGAAACCUGCUAGGAAAAUUGACAGAUUAUCAGGAAUUGACAGAAUUAAAGGGGUACACCUAGGUGGUAGUUUUAAACUGAUUUCAAUGCUUUUAAGAGUUUAAAGAUGAUUAUGAGUAUGAUUGAUUUAUAUUUAUAUAUAUAUGGGUGCAUUGAUUUCAGUAUGUAUAUGAUUAAAAGGAUGAAUUAGUUUUGUGUAACUGUUUUUACAGUGGGGUUAGUAUGUUCUUAUGCUAUUUUUCUUAAAACUUUGUUUUUGGGUCCACUCACCUUUUAAAUGUUUAGCGCCCCCAGGCCGUAGACGUGCAUCUGAAAGUCACCACAGGGCAGUUUCCGCUUCCUGCAUCUCUUCAGCCUAUUGUAGGGUCCUUAACCCUCCAAAUGUUCUUCUUGUAAAUUAAUCUGUAUAGAUGCUUUGAUAUUGCCCCUGGGCUCGAACCUUACUGUUGAUUGUAUAUAUAUACGCAUGCCGGAAGUUGGGUUGUGUAUAUAUGCUUGAAAGGACCCGCCCCGAAUUUUCUCAAAACCCGAGACGAACCCUUUGGAAUUCCUGACAUCACUCCGAUACCAGACCCACUUACUAAAAACCGAGACUCCCUGCCGAAAUUUCGGCAGAGUCUCCCCUAUAAAUUGGACAUUUUUCAAAAUUUCAACCUGCAUAAAAACGCAUUUAAUAUCCACAACUGGCAGCAUGCACAAUAUAAUUUCAUGCAGUUCACAUAAAUUGGCCUUCGGCCUUCCAAAAAUUCUCAACACACUACCAAACAAUCCAAAUACAAUUUAUGACUAACAUUUAGUCUGCGGCUGUACCUAAUAACCUUAGGCUGCCUACGUACCCUCCUUGAGGGAUCAAGCCACACGUAGUUCUUCCCAAAACCCAAUUCCACAUUUGGGCGAUACCUUAUUUCAUUUCUCUGUAUUUCAAAUAAUCUCCCCAUACGCCGGUACAACCAACGCCACGUAUGGGGCCUGUCAACACGCCGGAUAACCUACGCCACGUGCGACCAUGCCAUACUAUCAUAAUAUCUCCCCAUACGCCGGUACAACCAACGUCACGUAUGGGGUCUGUCUCAACGCCGGAUAACCUACGCCACGUGAGACCUGCACAUCAUAUCACAUAUCUCCCCAUACGCCGGUACAACCAACGCCACGUAUGGGGCCUGUCCCAACGCCGGAUAACCUACGCCACGCGGGACCUCAAUUUCAUAUCACAAAUCUCCCCAUACGCCGGUACAACCAAUGCCACGUAUGGGGUCUGUCGACACACCGGAUAACCUACGCCACGUGCGACCUCAACACAAUAUCACAAUAUCUCCCCAUACGCCGGUACAACCAACGCCACGUAUGGGGCCUGUCUCAACGCUGGAUAACCUACGCCACGUGAGACCUGAAUAUCAUAUUACAAAUCUCCCCAUACACCGGUACAACCAACGCCACGUAUGGGGCCUGUCCCAACGCCGGAUAACCUACGCCACGUGGGACCUAACUUUCACUUGGUGGUGCUUGUAGUGAAUCCAAAAUUCGGGGAGGUACCUAAAGUAGUGCGUAUAGCACUCCAAACUGACAUUCUAGACUCUGUUGUACCCUUGUACAACCAUAUAUAAUUAUAUAAAUAAUUCUAAUAUUGUGUAACCCUCCACAAUAGUUUAGCUCCCGAUACUCCCCCCUGGAAGGGUGAGAUUACUCCGGGAGACUCACGGUCAAUUAAGGGUCAAACUACUCUAACCCUGGUCAAACGGACCUGCAGAACCCACGACCUCCAAUUUCCGAACCGAAAGGGCUCGUUUGGUACACAGGACUGUCUUGGCAUGGACUAUGUUUAGGGACUGGUUUGGCUUGGCUUGGCUUGGUCUAAGUUGGAUAACACUUAUCCUGCGUUUGGUGUAUGCUGGGACUAGGACUAGAAUUUUUUUUAUUUUUUCAAAAAUAUCUAUAUAUAUAUGUAUAUAUGUAUUUUAUAAUAUAUAUAAUAUAUAUGUAUAUAUUCAUACAUAUAAUAUAUAUAUAUGUAUAUAUACAAGUAUAUAAGUAUAUUAUAAUAAUAUUAUAUAUUUUAAAUAAUAUAAACGUACAUACAUAUAUAUAAGUGUAUAUAGGUGUAUAUAUGUAUAUUAUAAUAUACAUGGGUAUAAUACAUAUACAUAUAUUUAUAUAUAUGUAUGUAUAAUAUAAUAUAUAAUAUAUAUGGGUAUGUUAUAAUAAUAAUAAUAAUAUACAUGUAUAUACGUGUAUAUAUGUAUAUUAUAUAUGUAUGUAUAUAUACAUAUACAUUAUAUAUAUUAUAAAAUACAUAUGUAUAUAUAUACAUUAUAUAUAUAUAUUAUAAAAUACAUAUAUAUAUAUAAUAUAUGUAUAUAUAUUAUAUAUUAUAAUAUACAUAUAUAUACGUAUAUACAUGUAUAUAAUAUAUGUGUAUAUAGGCGUAUCUAUAUAUUAUAAUACAUACAUGGGUAUAAUACAUAUACAUAUAUAUAUGUAUAUUAUAAUAGAUAAUAUAUAUGGGUAUGUUAUAAUAAUAAUAUACAUGUAUAUAUGUAUAUUAUAAUAUAUAUACAUAUAGUAUAAAUAUAUAAUGUAUAUGUGUAUAUACGUGUGUAUAUGUAUAUUAUAAUACAUACAUGGGUAUAAUAUAUAUACACAUAUAUGUAUAUAUACUUAUAUAUAUUACAUAUAUACAUGUAUGCUAUUAUUAUAAUAUUAAUAUGUAUGUGUAUAUGAGUAUGUUAUAAUAAUAAUAUACGUGUAUAUAUCUAUAUGUAUUUAUAUAUUAUAUAUGUAUAUAUGUGUUUAUAUAUAUUAAUGUACAUAUACAUAUAUACAUGUAUACAUGUAUGUAUUAUUGUAAUAUUAAUAUGUAUGUGUAUAUGAGUAUAUUAUAAUAAUAAUAUAUGUGUAUAUAUCUAUAUGUAUUUAUAUAUAUAUUAUAUAUGUAUAUAUGUGUUUAUAUAUAUAUACAUGUAUAUGUGUAUAUACAUGUAUAUAUGUACAUUAUAGUAUAUGUGUAUGUAAUAAUAAUAAUAAUAAUAAUAAUAAUAAUAAUAAUAAUAAUAAUAAUAAUAAUAAUAAUAAUAUAUGUUAUUAGUAUUACAAUAUAAUAUAUGCAUCUUAUACAUUGGUGAACAUAGGACUAGUUAAUCCUCCCUUUCUACAUGGGUUUAGUAGUCCCCUCCUAAUGAGGUAUUUUUGGUGGGCCCGGUAUUAGCAAUCUCAUCUAAGACUAGAAUUUAAUGAAACAAACAUGGUACUAAAUUUAGUCCAAGCCAAGCCUGUGUACCAAACGACCCCUAUGGGUUCUACCAGGUAUAGGACACUUGUCCUGCAAGUUUGGUUCACAUUGGACGGUCGGAUUUCUCACGAUCGCACGAUCUGACAAUUAAUAUAAAAUAUAAACUGUAAAAUUACUAUUCGGAACAUCCGGGGCUCCGAUUCACAAUCCGUGAAUUCCUACACGAUCCUAGAAUUACCUAGAUUAACAUAUAUUAAAUUUGGGACCAUCCAACGGUCCCAACCUAUCGAACCUAGAUAACGCACAAUAUGCGAUUAUCCGUUCGAUAGUCAAACAACGUCCGAAUUGAGAUCCGUGAAAUCCUACACACUCGUGACAACCUAAGGAUCUCAUCGGAACACAGUGCUACUUUUUCCACCAUGCCCACGCGCCGCCGCACGCGCCGGCAGCGCGUGGUGCCCAAAGCGAUAACGCUUCGCCGGAAGAUCUCAAAACCACGGCUCCAAACUCCUACCCUAGGUAUAACACCCUAUUUGGAGCCACUUUUGUUCUUGAACCUACCCCAAAAAGUGGCCGGAAAUGGCCGAUCACGGCAGCCGAAGUUCGGCCGAUUUUCAAUUCGAAAAUCGAAUUGGUUACGCUAAGAAUCGAUCUAAUCCUACCCAACCAUCAGCUAGAGCAUGCAGAAGGGAUGAAUUUCCAUACCUUGAUCGCCAGAAAUGCCGGCCGGAGAGGGAGAUCGGCGGCCAUGAAGAUCGGCGACAUCCAGGCAAAAUCGCCAUUUUUCGGCGACUGAGCGCGGCCGAUGUCGUCGGGGNNNNNNNNNNNNNNNNNNNNNNNNNNNNNNNNNNNNNNNNNNNNNNNNNNNNNNNNNNNNNNNNNNNNNNNNNNNNNNNNNNNNNNNNNNNNNNNNNNNNNNNNNNNNNNNNNNNNNNNNNNNAGAGAGAGAGAGAGAGAGAGAGAGAGAGAGAGAGAGAAAACCCAGAUUUUUAUAAAAAUCCCAUUUCAAAAUAUUUACGAUUGUGCCACUGGAUUUCUUUUGACCAUAUCUCUCUCGUUACAACUCCGAUUCGAGCCCACUACGUGUCUAUGAACUCGUCUCAGUACGACCUAUCCAAAAAUAUAAGUCACGGUCCCAAACUCUCUCUGGUUAAAAAUAUGACUAAAAUAUCCUUAAAUAAUUAAAUAAUUAAAUAAGGGUUAAAUUUGGGGAAAUUUGGGGUCGGGGUGUUACAAUGCUUGUUUUGACAGGUGUGAUUUUGGGAUUGAACAAUUUACAGGGGAGACUCUGCCGAAUUUUCGGUGGAAGUCAAGGCAAAAAUGAAAGUAAGUUUGUAACUAGAAGGGCAACUAGGUCAUUUGUGCUUGGCACCAGCCAUGUGUCGAUCACGAACAAGGUUCGGCUCGAAUUCCAACAGGGAAUUUGGGUAGGGUCCUGUCAAUAAAAAUAUAGGUAUAUUAUUGACCAAAAAAAUUAACAAAAAUAGGUCAAUUACUUUGUAAUUGAAAUUUUCAUACAUUUUUCAUAAAUUAAACAUAGGUACACAAUAAUUUAUAGAAAAUAGGUACGUUGUAUAACUGAAAUUCAUGCACAUUUUUUAUAAAUUGAAAAUAGGUACAUUAUUUAGAAGAAAAAAAUAAGUUCAUUAUACUAGGUAUACAUUAUUAGAGAAAAAAAAAGGUACAUUAUUCAGAGAAAAAAAUAGGUUCAUUAUACUAGGUAAAUUGUUUUACUAGGUACAUUAUUAGAGAAAAAAAAUAGGUAUAUUAUUUUGAGAGAAAAAAUAGGUACGUUAUUUUGAGAGAAAAAUAGGUACAUUAUUUUGAGAGAAAAAAUAGGUACAUUAUUUAGAAAAAAAUAAGUACAUUUUUAGAGGGAAAAAAAAAGGUUCAUUAUACUAGGUAAAUUGUUUUACUAGGUACAUUAUUAGAGAAAAAAAAAUAGGUACAUUAUUUUGAGAGAAAAAAUAGGCUCAUUUAAAAAAAAUUGAUUUCAUAAAACAAACAAUAAAAAGAUGAUCAAAUUAUUUUUCAUAAAACAAGUAAUAAAGAAAAAAAUAGGUACAAUAUUUGGAGAAAAAAUAGGUUCAUUAAAAAAAAUGUUUUAAAAACAAAACAAUCAAUAGAUUAUGAAAUUAUUUUUCAACAUAAUUAGAAUGUACACUAUUAUUUAUAAAACUAUAAUAACAAAGAAUAUUGGUUGUACAACUCAUAAAAAGAAAACAACAUUAAUUCUUAAAUUUAAUAUUGAAUUUAUAUUAUUAAUACUUUAAAUAGAUUACUAGUCGUAAUUCAUAGAAGGAAAACACCAUUAAUUCAAAAAUAGAUUACUAGUCGUAAAAUAGAUUACUAAUACUUUAAUGUGUAAUUUAAUAUUUAAUUUCAAAUAAGUGUCUAAAUUAGUUCUUAUAUCCAUUACAACUAUUUAGAGAUAUUUUCAAAUUCAACGGAUGUCAUUAGUUACACUUCCCAUAACACAUUAACUUAUAAAUAGGGGUAGUUUUGGAAUCAGAAAACUACAAUAAAUCAGAUUUUAAGUCAUAUUAGGUAACUUGCUUGGUUGGAUCCUAGUCAUUAGGUAUUAUUUGAAAAAAUUGGGUAUUUUAAAUAGAAAACUAAAGGAAAAGGUUGUAAGUGAUUUAAAAUGAAUUUUAUGGGUCUAAGCUCAAUUUACUAUUAAUUUUAUUAUGUAGUUCGUAUGACCUUAUUAAGAAAAAGAACUAAAGGAUUAUACUUCUCCAUAAGUGAUCGUAAGAGGAUUGCAUCAUGGACACUGUUGGAGUUAUUUGUGUGGACACCGAAGGACAAAUACCUUCUGGUGCCUUAAGUGGGGGUAUUGCACUGAAGGUGACUGAUACUUCUAAUAAUUUGCACUCGUUUGUUUGUCGUCUGUUUGUAGUGACUAAUAACCUAACAGGUUUUUGUUUUAAAAAAAAUAUAAUAAUAAUUCAGGUUAGUGGGCGAGUGGGAUUAGCAGCAAUGCAUGGUUCAGGCUGUUGGGCAUCCUCCAAAGGUUUUUUUGUGGCGCCAUGUAUAGUUGGCUGUUGUGUAAGUGGUGCUGGAGAAUAUCUAAUGAAAGGAUUUGCAGCUCGGGAGUGCUGCGUCUCUUUGUCACUGUAUGUUUGUCGUAUUACUAUAUAACAAUUUUUUUUAAAUUUUCCUUGACUUGAAGAUAGCUUCUCUGUCUCUCUCUCGGACACACACACUCACACACACCAAGAAGCCAGCUUUAUUGCAUAUUGGACCUGCCAAAGUUGGAGUGGUCAUGAUUUUUCAAAGUCAUAAUUAGCACCCUAUAAAAGAAAGGUAUUAUUAGCACUGUAGAAUAUCAGCUGGGAUGAUCUACAACGUCUAUGAGUUUUUUAGUUUAUAUACCAUGUCUAUUCUUGUCCAGAUGAAGCCAGUAUGUAAACUUGACUUUCAUAUCCAUUGCUUAGUUCACAGGCAGGUCCUGCCUCUGCUUGCAUGAAAGUUUUGCGCUCGGUUGUUCAAGAGAGUAAUCACAAUUGUACUGAUAGAAGUGCUGGAAUUCUACUUGUGCAAGCUGAUGAUCCCACAACAGUGAGUUCCAAGCUAGAACCUUUUGUGUUAGUUGUCAGAAAGAAUUAGUUGUCUGAAACAAAUUUUUUUUUUAUAAAUUUUUUGUACAGGAAUGUUUGUCUGAAAGAAUUGUAUAUUUAUAUGUUGCUUUUUAGGUUUCAGGAAGUUCUCCAAAGUUGAAAGCCAUAGAGAUUGCAGCUGCUUUCUCUUCCUUAUCCUUUGGAGUAGGAUACUUUGGAAGCUCUAUGGAGCGGCCCAAGGUAAUUAUCUGAGUCUGUUUGAUCUUUUUAUUGCUAUCUUUUUCUUCUAUUUGUUAUAAAUAUUUUGGGCCUUGUUGAUCUUUCAGGACUUCAAAGAUCUCAUUUUGUGAUUAUUCUUGUAGAGUGCUGCUAAACAAAUCCUAAAAUUAACUGAGUACACCCUAUUAUAAAAGUAUAUAUUGAAUUACUGAUUUACCCUAAUAUAAAAUGACCAAAAAGGAUAUAUGGAAUUGUGAAACAAAUAUAAUUUUAAUAAGUACACCAUACUAACCAUAUUCAACCCUAAUCAAGAGAUUGCUUGUCCUAUUGUGUUUUUAAUGAAAGAUGUGGUGAUUGCAAGAAAUUGGAAUUGCAAAAAAGUGUCAACAGUUUUAGUAGAAGCAUAAAUCCAUAUGAAAAGUCAAAGAUUUAUAAACAUUAUUAAAAAAAUCAAGCUGAAAAUCAACUAUAAAAUAAUGCUACAAGUAUUAGGGUGUAUCAUAGGUUUUUUUGAUAGUUUUAUAGGGUGUACUUAGUUAAUUUUACAUUUUAAUUAAAAUAUUAGGGUGUACUUAGAUCAUAGGAUGUACUCAGUUAAUUUUAGGGUUCGUUUAGCAGUACUCUUCUUGUAUUGUUUAUGUUUCACAUCAAAUUCUAUUUAGAGGCAUCGCACCAAUUGUUUCUGUUUGUUCCAGUGAAUGUGUAUGGUAAUGAAAGUCCGGGUGAUUAUAUUGUUAUUUGGCAACUUUAAAACUAAAUGCUUCAUCUUCUGCCUCGUACUGUCAAUAUCUAUUUGAUUUCUAACAAGAAUGUUGAAUCUGUAGUGAAUUUGUGGACUAAAUUGUUCCACCUUUCAAGUUUCAAUUCUUAGGACUACAAAAUUGCAAAAAAAAAAAAAAAAAAAAACUGGAGUGGACCAUUUCAAAGCGCGAAUUGAUUGCAAUCUUGUUUGUUUAAUAUUCUGGAUUUGGCUGCUUAUGCUUUGACGUAGAAGAUCAUGUCUGUCAAUUGGCUACUCUUCUCCUUGUCGAAGUACAUCUGGAUGUGUUAAAUUAAGUGUGCUUCUGAUCUGUUAGCUGUUGUUGCUGGUACUGGAGUAAUUGGUGAAGCAAUCUGGCAGAUCUCCUCAUAGCAGACAUCUCCAACCAGCCGAUAACCUCGAGGGCACUUUUCAUCCUGUCAAAAAAUACACACAUCAUGAAUGAGAUACAAUCAUCAUGGCAUGACCAAAUAAUCAAAUUUCAUAUUUCAGGAACGAUAUUCCAAAUGUAUCUGAUAACCUAGUCAGUGCAUUUCUGUUAACAAAGCAUGAGGGAAAUCAGCCCAAAACAUUAGGGACUGACCUUAAGAUAUGAUGAAUUUCCUAAGCAUCAAAUUGAAAGGCAACAUCAACAUUGCAUGACCAAAUCAUCAAAAUUUUUUAACAAUGAUAUUUCAACAUAUCUACUAACAAAAUCUAUGCUUCAUUUCCUAUUCACAAAUAUAUCUGAGUCUGACAACCAAAUCAUCAUCAUCAUGAGAGAGAGAGAGAGAGAGAGAGAGAGAGAGAGAGAGAGAGAGAGAUUAUGAUAUCGCCUUGUCUUGUGAUCUCCUCAGGAUUCUUGGUUCAAGAAUGGACUAUACUGUUGGAAGCAUCUUCCCUUUACCAACAUUCAGAAAUCGGCUUGUCUUGUGAUCUCAGGAUUCUUGGUUCAAGAAUGGACUAUCCUGUUUGUAGUAUCUUCCCCCUACCAACAUUCAAAAAUUAAGUUUAAUUCAUGAAGUAGGAUACCAAACGGGCCCUAAGUAACUUAUUACUGAGGUAAACGAAAAUCACCUGCAGCAAUAAAGCAGCUGGCAUCCCAACAAGCAGGCAUAAUCCUUAAUAGUUUUUCGUAGUUGAGUUGAGUACUAUCACGCAUGUGUGACGAACAAACUAAGUAACUACCUUGCAAAGCAACCCACCCCCAAAUCAUGCUGCCUGUGUGAACAAACAAACUUUGUACAACCAGCUUGAAUUGCCUCGACACGACGCAGCCACUACUUUGACUCUUUCUCGCUGGUAACGUACACAUGAAAACUAUUAGAUUGUUUAGUCAUAAAUCAUGGGAGAACUACCGUAAUUCUAAUAAUUUUGCACAUUCAUAUACAUUACAUGGUCAUGAAAGUGAUACAGAUCUCUGCAUGCAUACAUCUAGCAUGACAAAUGGCAAGACAUCAUAAUGAUCCAUAGAUCAUCUUUUAGUGACUAUUGCAAGAUAUGCCUUCAAAACAUUAGAAUAACUUGUUAUUUAUGUUCUUCUCAUUGUAACAUAAUUUCACAAAAGGGAAAGCAAAAUUCAAAUUUACAAGCAUACACAAUGCUAAAAUAUGAAUAUGGUUUGAAUGUAUAGAAAUUUAGUUAUAUACCCAAUCUUAGACAUGGUUUUAUAAAGAAACCCUACACCGUUUAAAAACUAUAAACACACCCAAAAACAAUUCAAAAAUUGACAGCUAUCAAUUUUUUUUAAUUUAAUAGUUGUUUUUUAGUUUAUUUGUAUGUGUUAAAUACCUAUAUUGUCCUUGUACUAUGGAUUUAAGAUAGGAAAAUCAGAUCUGCCAUAAAACCAAAUAUUUCCAUGUCUGCCAAAAAACCAAAUCUGCCAAAAAAACCAAAUCUGCCAAAAAAUCAAAUCAGAUUUAUUUUCUCCUUUCUCGCUGGUGUUUUCUCUGGUGUUGGAGCAAGAGGAGCUUCCAUUGAAGCUCAGUCUCAGGUCCAACUAUAUUAUUCAUCUUUAAUCUACAAUUUUCAAUAUUUCACCUUCAAUUUCUUGUUCUAAAAUCGUGCUUCUAUUGAUUUUUUCUUUUUUUCGGAUUGUUCAAGACCUUGAACAAACCUCGAUCAGAUGCUUUUAGCUCUACUCCUCAUCUUCGAGCUCUACUCCUCUUUCGCCACAUCGUUGUCGUUGUUAUCGUCGUCAUCGUCGUCGUCGUCGUCGUCGUUUGGUUUGUACUUGAGAUUUUUGAUCUUUUGCUUCAAUUAUGUGUUUCUCUUCGGAUUUUAGUUGAUUUUCGAAAUGUAUUUGAAGCUUUGAUGAUCGAUUCAACUUUUGUUACUAUUUCAGUUAUGAAUCUCAUUUUUGUUUAACAAUGUACUUCUGUGAUAGGGUAUUAACAAUGUACUUCUAUGACAGAGUAUUAACAAUAUACUUCUAUGACAUAAUAGUAUUAACAAUCUGGGCUCAGCUUGUUUUGAGUUGGUUUGGUUUGUUCUUUCUUCAUCUUUUCUUUGGUGGACAUGUAUUAGAAAUAGCAACAUGAUAAACAUUAAUCAACAUGACAGUAAACUAGCAGUGUUAUUACCCUAGACUAGAACAUUACAGGGGUAAACAUGCAUUAGAAAUAUGAUGUCAUAGGAAAUAGCAGUGUUAUUACCCUAGACUAGAACAUUACAGGGGUAGAUAUGCAUUAGAAAUAGAAUAUCAUAGGAAACGAGCAGUGUUAUUACCCUAGACUGGAACAUUACAAGAGUAAACAUGCAUUAGAGAUAGGAUGUCAUAUGAAACUAGUAUUGUUAUUACCCUAAACUAGAACAUUACAACCAUUAAUCAGCAUGACAAUAAACUAGCAAUGUUAUUACCCUAGAUUGGAACAUCAGCCAUUAAUCAACAUGACAAUAAAAUAGCAAUGUUAUUACCUUAGACUGAAACAUUACAUGGGCAGACAUGCAUUAGAAAUAGGAUAUCAUAGGAAACUAGCAGUGUUAUUACCCUACACUGGAACAGUACAGGGAUAAACAUGCAUUAGAAAUAGGAUGUUAUAGGAAAUUAGCAGUGUUAUUACUCUACACUGGAACAUUAUAGUCAUUAAUCAACAUGACAUAGCAGUGUUAUUACCCUAAACUGGAACAUUACAACAAUUAAUCAACAUGACAAUAAAGGUGUAGAACAUUACAAUGAUUAAUUAACAUGACACGUUAAUGAAACUACGGUUUUCAAGACCUUUUGUUUGUAAUGAAUUGUUUGAGUUUUUUUAUAAAAUUGGGCUGGGCUUGUUUUGGGUGCUAUUUAAGUUUUUUGUGUUGGUCUUCUUUUUUAAAUUGAUCAAAGGCAGUCAUGUAAUUUAUAAGAACUUAAACACUAAUUUUUUAUGUAGUAAAUGAGUUUUGGGUGUGUUUCUAAAGUGCAAUCCAUGUGAGAUUUUUUAUAAUUUCAGCCCUUAUUUUGGGUAUAUUAGUGAAGCUCCCUUGAAUGUAUUAGGUUUAAUUUAUUCUUCUCCAUAAGGAGGUAUUAAGAGUUUACAUAUGGGCUUUAUAAGGAAUUAGAUACAGUAAAGAAAUAUGAAAGUAUCUCCUAAUUGUACAAUGAUUUAUCAAUUAUAUAAAAAAAUAGGAAAGUAAAUCCCUUAAUUAAUCAAGGAAAUAAAUCUCCUUGAUUAAUUAGGAGACUCACGUCAACACUCUUCCUCAAGUUGGUGCAUAUAUGUUACCAAUGCCCAACUUGGUAAGUGAGUCAUGAAAUACUCUGCUAAAUGUAACACCCUGACUCCAAAUUUAAUUUCUAUUUUAAAUUAUUUAAGUGAAUUUACGAAUUUACCCUUAGGGUAGGGGUAAAUUGGUCAUUUUCUUGUCCGAAAAGUGUUUGGGGCAGUGACUGGAAUUUUUAGGUAGGUGGUACUGAGACGAAUUUGUAGACACGCGGUAGGCUUGAAUCGGAGUUGUAACGAAAAAGUUACGGGCAAAACACUAUUAGUGGCAAAACUGUAAAUAUUUCAAAAAGGGUUAGAGUAAAAAUCAGAUUUUUCCAGUUUUACCUCACUCUCUCUCUUUCUCCCCAUUCUCUCUCUCUCCCGCGUCGUCCCUCCUCCUCCUUCGACUGCAAAACGCACGGCCACCGUCACAGGCCACGGCCAGCCUCAAGACCGGACCCAAAACAUCCGGCCAGAUCUCGCCGACGUUCCCCGACCCACCUCCAGCCGUCAGCUGCAGCCACGUUGUCGGAAAAUACGAAUUUCAGGCCGGUUUUCGUCUGAAAUUCCAGUCACUCGUUCUCUCUCCUCCGACCACUAUUUCAGACGGGUGAGGUAUGGUUUCUCAUCCAUUUUUCAAGUCCUAGCUGACUGUUGUAUAAGUUUGGACCGAUUCGUUGUCUAGGAAAUCGAUUAAAAAAUCUAGGUUUUGGCCGGAUUUCAAAAUGAAAUUCCGGCCAGUUGCCGCCCGAAUUGGACCUUCCCGUAAUUGAAGGAAGUGAUCCUGACCCCGAGUAGGAGCUAGGGUAGGAAUGGUGAGCUCGAGUGUGGAGUUUUUUCGUUCCCGGGAUUACUCUACACACCCACGAGCUGCCGGCGAGUGUGGCGGCACAUGGGCGAGGCUGGUGAGGGUGUAAAUUAACCCGAUGAGAUCCUUAGGUUGUCACGAGCACGUAGGAUUUUACGGAUCUCAAUUCGGACAUCGUUUGACUAUCGAACGGAUUUUCGCAUAUUGUGCGUUAUCCGGGUUCGAUAGGUUCUGACCAUUGGAUCGUUUCCUAAUUAAAAUAUGUUGUUCUAGGUAUUCCUAGGAACGUAUAGAAAUUCACGGAUCGUGAAUCGGAACCCCGGAUGUUCCGAUUCAAUAACUUUAAGUUUGCGUUUUAUAAUAACAGUCCAAUUGUCCGAUUGUAAGCGAUCUAACCGUCCGUUUCGAACUACACUUGCGAUACGGGUAUCUUAGACCUUGUGAAACCUUUAGGGACUUUCGGAUUGUAAAACGGAGGUCGUGGGUCCCGUGGGCCCGGUUGACCCAAAUUGGGAAGUUUGACCGCUGGUUGACCGAGUGUCUCCCGAAGUUGUUCCAUCGUCCAAAUCGGGUAGUUGGACCUUAGAACGUCUCGUUCCUAGUACACUUACUAGAAACCUGGGAAAUUAGAAUAUUUAAUUCAAAGUACUUAUUCGAAACGCUUUGUAUUAAUCUCGUAUACGUAUUCUGAAUUAGGUACUCCGACCACGCAUACGCAGCAGGCGGGACCCUCUCAGGGUCAAGCAGCGUGGGACUACUUGUGAGUGGACUUUGUUUUCAAAUCUUAUGCAUGGUUUUAUUGAUGAAAGAUUUGUGCAUAAUGUUUUUAAUGAUUUAUUGAAUAUAUUAUAUUCAUGAGUUGAAUUUGAUGUUUGUAUAGUGCUUUGGCAUAGUUGGGUAUUGAAAGUAUAUUUUAUAUGGAUUUUGGGAAAUAUUAUGCAUGAUAUUUUAAAUGGUAUUUUGAAUAUAUUAUUUAUGAAAUUGUUGAAAGUGAUAUUUUUAUGAGGUAUUGGAAAUAUAUUUUGGAUUUUGACAUAUUUGAGUAUCUUGAGUACGAAUAUUUGGAUUUUGAGAAUUUCUAUAUAUAUUUGGCUAUGUGUGAGGUACUUGGGUUGUUGAGAUGAGAUUGUGGAAAGUGGUGAGUAUAGAAUGUCAGUUUGGAGUGCUAUAAGCACUACCCUAUAUACCUCCCUGGAUGUGGAACUUGGAUACGGAGACUUGAGAUACUUGGAAUUGUCGGAACUCGGGGCAUCCUUGACGGGAUGUUGCUGUAGACCCUUGAUUGGGUAGUCUGCGCGCGUAGGACUGAUGACAGACGUACGGGUUUUGAGGUUAUCGACGGUACGUGCUGGCUGAGAGUUGGUCCCCCGGACGGCUCGUUCCCUAGUCACAUGGUGGAUUAAGGACUCUUCAUGAGGACUCAGCCAGGAUGACUAGUCAAACAAUCCCCCGGUUGGAUUGUUUUCCCGGUACUGUUCACCCGUUUUCGUGUUUACUCCUUAGGUGGAAGGGCUAAGUUCCCCACUGGCUUGGAGACCAUUUGUUGGUCGACAAGUCAGCUUUCUUUGGUGUGUGAGCGUGUCACUGCUAGCAAUGUAAAUUCUAGCAGACUUCUUUUAGAGUGGAUAACUUGCGCCCCAAGUUACUGACUUCUAAAACAGAUGAUUGUGAAUUUAGGUGAGGAAUAUCUCCCAAGUAAGUUCUUUUCUUGCCUCAGACUGGUAAGGACUUUCAUAAUUUAUCUCAGUAUCAAACGGCUGUUCUGGCCAGAAAAAUUUGAUAGAAGUUGGGCUUUUUUAGGCAGAACUGCCUUUUACAAAACAAUAAAUAUGCAUAUCGACGCUAGGAAGGUUAAAAGACGGCCGGAACUCCGUUUCUGCUUGGAUGGAAGGCUCUGGCUUGGGCUGGACUGGACACAUCUGGGUCGGUCCGUACUGCUUCGUGCCUUCAAAUGCUAGGUUGAGCUAUAAAUCGAUACCAAAGUUCGAUUUUGGCAGAGCUUUAUGUUUACUUCACGCUUCGUGAGGCCUUUUAGUGGGUAGAACUGCAGCUUCUUCAGUUUGAAGAGGCAGAAGUGGCUGUUCUCGAGGGCUUGGUGGGCUAGGGAUUGCACUACGAGUGUUGUUCUGCUUGAGCAGGACUUUUUCAUAAGUUCGCUGAGGUCUCCACGUUUGUGAAGAUUCAAAUUCUGCUUGCCUUGGCUUUUUGCUGAACCAAAUUUGUAACGAGAGAGAUCUCGUUUUCAGAAGACUUAUUUUCUAAGUCUGAACUUUGGAAUUCUGAUCUAAAGCUGGUUUCUCUUGGAAUCCAAGUGAGCUUUUGGUUGUUUUCUUGUUGUUUAUUUUUUUUGAUUGAUGAAUUGAGUGUCCUUUCCUUCCUUGCCUACUUUUGUUUUUAUAAGAGACCCUCUUGGGGAGGUGGUUUCAAAUUUAAAUAAUGGGCGGUAAAAUGAUCUCCUAUAAUAUAAAGUAAAAAAGGAUUUUAUCAAUCAUGGCAGAUAAGCUCUCCGUACAGCCUAUUAAAGCAGUCCCUUCCCUGGUGUCCUACUCCCAGCUUUCUAUUUCCAUCAACCCCACAGUCCGUGUGGGCUUUUUUGGCAGUUGGUUUUUCUUUCGUAUUUUCUGAACAGCUCCCCGUUUCCCGUUCUAAUUUAGAAAGCGUGACCCGUGAAUUCCUUGGAAGAUGGUGUAUUGCUUUUUGGAGUAGAAUCUCCGAUCACAGAUGGGUUUUGAUCUUCUGCUGGCAGUGUUUCAGAGAUGUCCCUCUCAUAUUUUAACUUAGUUGAAAUUGCUGACUUUUCAAAGCUGAGGCAAUCAGGUGGGUGUGUUUUUAAUUCCCUUGGGUUUAAAACCAACAAAAUUUAUGGGCUGAUCCUUGAAGCCCAAGUGAUAGUUUCCACGUUGAUCUUUCUUGGGCCCGGUUUUUUUUGUUCUUGACAUCCUGGCCUGAAGCCCAACCUGUCUGGAUCCUAAUUUUGUUACCCUUAAGUUUUUGGGCUGGGCAUUUAAUUUCACCAUGGGCCUGUCUUUUGAACUUUGGCGUGCCAAAUUUAGGCCCAAACAGGUACAACUAGGUGAUGGUCAUAUUUAUAUUAUAUAUAUAUCUCUUAUAUUAUAUAUUUAUAUUUAUUCAUUCAUUCUUGUUUCUCGGUGUGAAUACUUCCUUGCCGAUCGUGCCAAUGGGUACGCUUUCGAGAGUUUGGUUGUGGGAUUUAUAAGUUUUUGGAUGGUAGGUUUUGUAAAGCGUUCUUUAUGGAUUUCGGACUUGGCAUCUGGUAUUGAUUUGUUUUGAUAUAUAUUAUAUAUAUAUAUAUAUAUAUAUACUUGAGUAUGACGGUUUUGAGAUGCAUGAGAUUUCUUGCAUGGUUUUCUAAACGGUGGGGUUAUAUUACGUUGGUUUACACUGAACUGAAUUUAUUUUUGUCCACUCACAAUUUUCUGUUUUGCGCCCCCCAGCCAGUAGUUGACUGAGCUUCGCAACAAAGCCGGAUCGUGCGCUUCCGAGCCUUGAGUCAUCGUAGGACUCUUUCUUCAUGUUUUUCCCUUUGAACUCUGUUUUGUUGAAAUUGAAGUUCUUAGACAUGCUCUGUUAUCACCCCUGUUAGGGUUUGAAUUUUGAGGCCAGAGGCCAUUUUGUUGUAAACUGUUUAUUCGCUUUAAAGAAUGCUGCUGGUUGGGAUUAUUCUGUAUUUUUUUUUGCAGGUUGAAUUUUGUUGAUUUGUUCAAUUCACAGGGGAGACUCUGCCAAAAUUUUGGUAGAGAGUCUCGAUUUUUAGUAAGUGGGCCCGGCAUCGGGAAGAUGUUGGAACAAAGACGGGAUUCGCCCUGGUUUUGGGGAAAUUUCGAGGAGGGUCCUGUCAUACAAACAGCUUUUGUUAAGAUAUCUGCCAGUUGAUCUUCUGAUUUUACGAAUGGUAGAUGGAUGAUCUUCUUCUCAAUCUUGUCUUUGAUAAAAUAUCUAUCCACUUCAACAUGUUUGGUUCGAUCAUGUUGAUCUGGAUUAUGGGCAAUGUCAAUGGUUGAUUUGUUAUCGCAAUGUAAUUUCAUUGGCUUUCCUAGCUUGAAACCCAAUUCUUUCAAUAGUCUUCUGAUCCACAAUAGUUCACAAACUCCGUUAGCCAUUCUUCAAUACUCUGCUUCUGCACUAGACUGAGAAACCACAUUUUAUUUUUUACUCUACCAAGUGACUAGAUUACCUCCUACGAAGGUAAAGUAACAUGAAGUAGAGCGUCUGUCAGUAAUGGAGCCAGCCCAAUCAGCAUCUGUAUAUUCAACAACUUCGAGAUCUCUAUUUUUUUUAGAACAUUAAUAAUUACUGACUUUAAGUAUCUUAAGAUCCGAUCAACUGCAUUCCUAUGGGACACACUGGGUGAAUGCAUAAACUAACUAACCAUACUCACAGCAUAUGCAAUAUCUAGUCUUAGAGGACGUAUGAAAAGUAGAACAUUUGGUGGUGGUGAUAGAAGCAGGAGUCCGAGUAGCUGGGUCAAUAGGAGUGACUGCAUGCUUCUGUGAGUCUGCAAUAAGAUGGAGAAUCGUAGGGGUUCCUGACAUCGUAUCGGAAGUAAGAUAUGAUAUGAGAAUGUGAGGAAUUUGAUGUAGGAAUUGGAUUUAAGAGGUAUGUGUAUAAGAUUUGAGGGUAUGUGUUUAGGGAUAUGGAUAAGAGGAUUUGAAUAUGAUAAAUUUGAGAUAAGGGUUUAGAGGCAAAACAACUUCUCUCCACUCCCCCUCUCUCCCUGAAGAAAAGGGGUCGUCAGAGUAAAGAAAUAUGCAGUAUCUUCAUGGGAAUACGUCAAGGUAAUGGGGAUAUGUCAGUAAACAUAUCAUUUUCACUCCCCCUCCCCCCUUGAAAAGGAGGGGAGGAGAGCACUUAAAUUUCAAGAAGAACGCAAGCACAGGUCACAAGAGAACCUGGCUCUGAUACGAUGCUAAAGUAUGAAUAUGGUUUGAAUGUAUUAGGUUUAAUUUAUUCUUCUUCAUAAUGAGGUAUAUAUAAGAGUUUACAUAUGGGCUUUAUAAGGAAUUAGAUACAGUAAAGAAUUAGGAAAGUAUCUCAUAAUUAUACAAUAAUUUAUCAAUUAUAUAAAAAAUAAGAAAGUAAAUUACUUAAUUAAUCAAGGAAAUAAAUCUCCUUAAUUAAGUAGGAGACUCACGUCAACACAUAAGGCAGAUGUAGAGAUGAAGUUGAGCAUUUCUGUACUUCGAAUGAAUUAAUCCCAACAGAAUCACAAGCUUUUUUCUUGUUGCGCAAAUUGUAAUUUGUAUGUGCCACUUUCAUUAUAUCGUGACCACACAAUCAUGGUUGCCGUGUAGCCCAUGGAAAUCAACUCUGCAGUCUGCACUGGCAAUUGGUAUAAUUCAAUUUGUGGAAAUUGCUACAACCUCACAGGUCAACUGUAUCUGAAUACAUUAUAAAUUAAUAUAAUAAUGAUAAUAAUAAUAAUGUUAGGCUCAUCAGAAUAUCUUUGCUCAUUACAUUAUAUGUCCUCACAAAAAUAAAAUAAAAUAAUCAAAUCGGAAAUCGUUUAACCGUUUGAUUAUUAUCAUAAUAUUUCAAUUACCCGUAGGAAAUAUCUGUAAACACGAAUUUCUUGCGACAAAUGAGACAAGAACACGUGUAUAAAAUAAUAUUUGUAUUAAUGAAAUUUAAUGUUCCAAUCUCUGUAUUAAAUCCUCUGAUUCGAUCUCCAAAGUGUUUAAAGAAAAUUUGUGUUUGAUACAAGGGUCGUAGAGACUUGAUCUUGAUCAAACGGGUAGCACAAGGCUUGUUUGGUGUUAGGAUUUUUCUAGGGUAGAGGAACCGGCACGUAUUUGUUGUGCUUUAUGGCUCUUCCAAAGUGAGGUGAAUAAUGCAGAAAUUUUUUUGUUUCUUCUGAGUGCUUGGUUUGUCUCCGCCCCUGUCUUUCUUCUUGAGACCUCCUAUUUAUAGGUCCCUGCAGGAUGCUUGACCUAAAUAGCUUUCCUUCUAUAGGACCCUGUUUUGUGGGAUUUUGAUUUGAUUUAAAAUCAAUUCCGAUAAUUUGGCAAUUUAACCAAAUUAUCUUCGAUUGAUUGACUUGAUUAAUAUUUGAUUUAAAUCAAAGUCAAUCACAGAAAAUUCUUUCCUUUAAUUUUGUUUUCACUUUAAACCAUUUGAUGCACUCCGUCGGAUGUCAACACAUGUCACUUUUGAUAACUAAUCCGAUUUUGAUGAGUCGUACACCACAUGGGCGAAUUAUGAAACCUACAAUUUAAUCCACCAAACCCUAAUUAAUUUCUUACUUAGUGGAAUUUAAUUCACCAAAAUUUCAUUGUCUACAAAUUGCCUCCACUUCACAAUGCACUGUAGAUGUGUGUUUGCCACAUAUCUAUAGUGUGACUUGAAGUCCCUCUUGAUGGCGAAUGCAUUUUGUUCACAGGUAAAUUACAAGAGUUGAUCUUAAUUUGAUGAAGCCACUCUUGUUGGCGAUCACCUUUCUAUUGUUGCAAUGACCUUUCUUGUACAAUUUUUUUAUUUUUUUAUUUUUUUUAUUUUUAUUUAUUUUUUAUUUUUAUUUUCACUUGGUGGUAUCAACUCUUGGCCGAUAAUCAUUUGCAUGAGUGCAUUAAACAUGGGCUUUGGCACAACCAGAUCCUGGACCAUCGGAACUCCAGAUCAUAUAGUUUCAUAUGAUAAAGAAAUCCUUGUAUUUUGAAGAGGCCUCCAACUAAAUCAACAAUCUUGCGUGGUGGUGAAGAAAAUUCCAUAUUACAUAAGCACAAUUGAUGGCUUGAUCAUGUAUCAUCACAUAAUUUCCUUGAAUGCGUUGGAAAUUAAAGGGAAAACAUUUCGUGCUCAAUUUUGUCUUGCUACUUUCGUGGCAAAUAAACAUGGUCUCGAUCAAAAGGGAUUAUGAUCUUGAAUGCUCUAAAACAAAAAUGGAAAGAAUAUGCCCGUCCUGAUUUUUUAUUAAAAUAUUUUGGGACCCAAACAAGGGAAUUCCCUAUGCAUCUUUUGCUUGGUUUCUGCACCAAAGCUUCCACUUAUCUUUUUCAAUACGUCGGCAGCAUCCCUUGGUAACUAAUAAUCACAUGGUUGGUGGUGUUUCUCUUGCUUGAAGUUGUGUGCCUUCUUAGCCUUGAGCCCGUGCUCACCCAACCUCACUGAGCCAAUCGCCAUGUUCAGAUCUUUUCCUUUGUUACUUGGUCGAUGCUUAAUGAACUCGUCUUGGCACGAUGAUGUUGAUAAGUUGUUGCUCCUAUACUCCAUUGAAGUGGGGUCAAUGUUUUCUUACAUGAAGGAAUAUGCCACACAUGUAACUCAUGACAAGGAGGCCAUAAAGCAAUCAGCCAGAAACUUUUUAUUAUUUAUUAUUUAUUAUUUUUCUUCUUUUUUUUUGGCUAGGCACAUGUUGCUAAAAGGGCCAAACCUAGAGUUGCAAUUGAGGAUUUGAUCGCAGCUAGAUUUUUGAAGCGCAAACCGAGAUGAUUAAACUAUCAAUACCAUGAUGCCAGAGACUUCUCAAAAGGUGGAGUUCAUCUUGUUGGAUAUGUGAGGCGUUACAUGCAUCAUGUGGCCCAAGUGAAGGUCUGUUGAGGUUUGCAUCCACCAGUCGACGACGAAAGAAAAACGUAGAGGUCCUAACUGCUUGGGUUUGAACCAUUUCUUUGAUUUGGUGAUAACCCACUCAAGUGCUUAGGCUUGAUCUUGUUGGAGAACGAGUGAAGAAUGUAGACGUCCUAUACCGCUUGGGUUUGAUCCAUCUCUCCGAUUUGGUGAUAACCUACUCAAGCGCUUAGGCUUCACGUAUUGGAGGACGAGUGAAGAACGUAGACGUCCUAUACCGCUUGGGUUUGAUCCAUCUCUCUGAUUUGGUGAUAACCCACUCAAGGGCUUAGGCUUUACGUAUUAGAGGAUGAGUGAAGAACAUAGACGUCCUAUACCGCUUGGGUUUGAUUCCUCUCUCCGAUUUGGUGAUAACCCACUCAAGUGCUUAGACUUUAUAUAUUGGAGUAUGAGUGAAGAACGUUGACGUCCUAUACCGCUUAAGUUUGAUCAAUCUCUCCAAUUUGGUGAUAACCCACUCAAGCGCUUAGGCUUUACGUAUUGGAGGACGCCCAACUUGAUCGAGCACAAAUACUUUCCCAAAGAGACUUCCUUUUCCUUAUUUAUUUAUUUAUUCAAGAUUCACCAAAGAAAUGAUCCAUAGUGAAGCUUUUGGAGUGGAUAGGUCAUGGUAAAUUACAAAUUGCACAAAACAAGGCAAGAUAUUCAUUUGACGAAGGCCAAGGUAGUGAAUGGUGUAAGAAUAACAAGGGUGAACAAGGAGUACCAGCUUGAUGUUGAACGAAAGAAGUUAAUGUAGCCCUGACGGAGCGAAUUGGAAGUCAAAUAGUGCCAAACUAAUGAGAAACUCCAAAUUUAUUUUAUCAUGUGACUGAACUCAAAGUGGUCUUAUGAGCUGCCUACGUACCCUUAUAGGAAAAAAAGAGAUCAAGUCACGACGUAGUUCAAUGUUUUUCUUGGUUUUUUGGUUUUUUUUUCUUUUUUUUUUUUAGUUUGCAGUUUUAGCUCAUGCAAGCGAGGGAGCAUUUGGUGCCUUGUGCAUUUUUGGCUCUUGCAGGCGAAUGAGCGUUUUGGUGUCUUGUGCAGUUUAGGCUCGUGCAGGCGAACAAAUGAGCGUUUGGUGCCUUAUGCAAUUUCGGCUCGUGUAGGCAAAUGAGCAUUUGGUGCCUUGUGCAGUUUAGGCUCAUGUAGGCGAACGAAUGAGCAUUUGGUGCCUUAUGCAGGCGAAUGAGCGUUUGGUGCCUUGUGUAGUUUAGGCUCGUGCAAGUGAACGAAUGAGCUUUUGGUGCCUUGUGUAGUUUCUGCUCAAACAUGCGAAUGAGCGUUUGGUGCCUUGUACAGUUUAGGCUCGUGUAGGCGAACGAAUGAGCGUUUGGUGCUUUGUGCAAUUUAGGCUCGUGCAGGCAAACAAAGCAGCAUUUGGUGCCUUGUGCAGUUUCGGCUCGUGCAGGCGAAUGAGCAUUUGGUGCCUUGUGCAAUUUAGGGUCGUGCAGGCGAACGAAGGAGCGUUUAGUGCCUUGUUCAGUUUUGGCUUAUGCAGGCGAAUGAGCAUUUGGUGCCUUAUGCAGUUUAAGCUCGUGCAGGUGAAUGAAUGAGCGUUUGGUGCCUCGUGUAGUUUCGGGUUGUGCAGACGAAGGAGCAUUUGGUUGAAUUUGUGUCAAGCUAAGUGAGAAGUGUCCUCCUUAUGUUUUUUUUUUCACCUUGAGAGGUGCUCGACACAUUAUUCUUGAAGAAUCCUUUGGGGAAGAAAUCAUGUAGCAUGAUGGGGCUAAGUGACCUUUGUUUCAAAAGUUCAUCUUUUGAAACCAUUUUGUUCAUAUUUGACAAUUUAUUUCCUCUAUGCCUUUUAGGUGGUUCAGAAGAACUUCUUUUGUUUACAAAUUUUUUUUACCGAGCAGUUCUUGGCAAAGAUGCAUUCUUCUUAUGUAACUUCUUCUGAGUGACCAAUGUUCAUCCUUCAUUAUCGUCAUCGGAUGAAUCGACACUACUUCGACUUAACACCCCAACACACUCAUACAGAUUGAGUUGAUGGGUUUCAGAGAAUGCCCCUAGUGGUUGAAGUGAGGGCAAAGGUGCCGAAUCAGAGAAGACAAAUGAGAUCGUAGCAUGGUUUGACUCUACCAACUUGUCAAGAUCUAUUUCGAUUCUUCCUUGUUGUGCCAACUUCAUGAUGAGAUCUUUCAACACGAAACACUUUUCCACUGGGUGACAAAUGACACGAUGGUGCACGCAGUAUUUUGGUGGUUAAUAUGAUUCAUCUCUUUAGAGCGUUUGCACUCGGGUAACUCAAUCACCUUCUUCUCGAGUAAGUCUUCCAGCAUGCCUUCUACGUCAAAGUCUAGAAAAAAGAUACUUCCUCUCCUUCAUUUCUUUUAGGAUGUGUCAUCGUGGUUCUUGAUCUUGAGUUGACUCGGCCUUCCUCUCAUCUUUCUUGCCUAAAGCGGAAACCUUCAUUGGAGCGGCACUGAUCGUCAUUGACUCCAAGAUGCGUGUCUUCAAAGAGUCUGCCCCAUUUCUCGAUGACUUCUCAUUUCAAUGAUCACUCACUAUUUCAUUUCUUCCAUCGUGACUAGUGUUACUUAGCUCUAUGUCAUGCGCACGAGUGGUCAAUUCUUCAAAGCUAUGGGGUUUGAUCCCUUGAAGAAUAUAAAGCAGACCCCAAUGCAUACCUUGAAUGCACAUCUCUACCACCGAUAACUCUGAGACUCGAUCUUUGCAGUUGAGGCUUAAUGAACUCCAACAAUUGAUGUAGUCAACAACAGGUUCAUUUUUUUGUUGCUUUGUGCUAGUGAGCUUUAGCAUGCUAACUGAGCGAUGAGUGCUAUAGAAGCGGUUGAGGAAUUCUCUCUCCAUUUAUUCCCAGCUAUCACUUGACUCUGGUUCUAAGUCAGUGUACCAAUUGAAUGUAGUGCCUCGGAGUGAGCGAACAAAUUGCUUCACGAGUAAUCGUCAUUAGUGCCAGCGUUGUUACACAUCUCGAUGAAGUGGGCAACAUGUUGUUUAGGGUUACCUUUUCCAUCAAACUGCAUGAACUUUGGAGGUUGAUAACCCAUUGGCAUUCGAAGGUUGUCUAACCUUUUGGUGUAAGGCUUGCAAUAAAUAAAUGUAUCUUGAUAAGGCCCACCAUAUUGAGCCCUGAUGGUUUUCACGAUCAUGUCCUGAGGUUGUUGGACCGACAAAGAACCCACCGAGACGAUGUCGCCUUUUCUAUGCAACUUCUCACCCAACUCUGUUUCAUGACCCAAUCCUUUCUCACUGGAUUCAGCUUCAUGAUGUGGUCCUUUCUUAUGCACGUCUUGACCAAGUUCCUUAUCCUAAUGUGCCUCCUACUUGUUAAUGAGAGAAGCAAUUUGCGCAUCUUUCUCUUCGACCGUCUUCUUCAGUUUCGUGACUGCUUCACUUAUAUGGGCCAGCUGUUCUUCAAUAGACAUCUUUCAUGUCACCAUGACCUGCAUAGCCAUAGAAUAAGACUCACAUAUGGACGCUGAGGGUUUCAUGACAAUCUUCUUUUGUUGGUUGUCAGACGGGGAUCCAUGGUAUGAGCAUGUGCUCGAGUCAGCGUCUAAAACAGGCGAGAGUGAACGUUCUCUUGAAUUAUUUGAACCCGAAGAACUCCUUUCUUCAUUCCGAGAGUUUAUCUCAUCCGCUCGGGGUGUAUUCUUCUUUGCCCCCAAGAAGGCCAAGUUGAUAGCCAGCUCAUGCCUUCGAUUCACAUCUUUCGCCUUAGCUUGAUCAAGUCGGUAUGGAAGUGACAUGUUGAGUUACGAAUAUAGCAUUGGCCUUACUCCUGGUGACGACCCCAGCAGAGUCUCCGCUUGAGAAGGAAGCGCUCACACUUUUGCCUCUCGUCGCGGGAGCGAUUUGAAUAUUCUUGGAAGCCAUCGUUUUCGAUUUGUUGAGUGAUUUUGGAAUUGGAGAAAGAGAUGAGAGGCAUACAUGGUCCCACUAGGCGUGCCAAAUUUGUAAACACGAAUUUUCUGCGACAAAUGAGACAAGAACACAUGUACAAAAUAAUAUUUGUAUUAAUGAAAUUUAGGGUUACAAUCUCUGUAUUAAAUCCUCUUAUUCAAUCUCCAAAGUGUUUAAAGAAAAUUUGUGUUUAAUACAAGGGUCGUAGAGACUUGAUCUUGAUCAAACAGGUAGCACAAGGCUUGUUUGGUGUUUGAAUUUUUCUAGGGUAGAGGAAUCGGCAUGUAUUUGUUGUGCUUUGUAGCUCUUCCAAAGUGAGGAACCGGUGUUUGAAUUUUGUUUCUUACUUAGUGGAAUUUAAUUCACCAAAAUUUCAUUAUCUACAAUAUCAUAUUUGAUUUGUCCCUUUAACUAUUUAUAAACUAUUUGACGCUUUAAUUUUUGUUUCUUCUUAGUGCUUGGUUUGUCUCUGCCCCUGUCUUUCAUCUUGAGGCCUCCUAUUCAUCAAAUUAAAAUCAAUUCCGAUAAUUUGACAAUUUAACCAAAUUUUCUUCGAUUGAUUGACUUGAUUAAUAUUUGAUUUAAAUCAAAGUCAAUCACAUAAGAUUCUUUCCUUUAAUUUUGUCUUCACUUUAAUCCGUUUAAUGCACUCCGUCGGUUGUCAACACGUGUCACUUUUGACAACUAAUCCGAUUUUGAUGAGUCGUACGCCACAUGGGCGAAUUAUGGGGCCCACAAUUUAAUCCCCCAAACCCUAAUUAAUUUCUUACUUAGUGGAAUUUAAUUCACCAAAAUUUCAUUGUGUACAAUAUCAUAUUUGAUUUGUCCCUUUAACUAUUUAUAAACUAUCUGACGCUUUAAUAUUUUUUAAUAUUUUAUAAUAUAAGUGAUAGUCUAAAUCACAAGGAUGGGGAGAAUUUUCACACACACACUACCAAAGUAACAUGGACGUUCAAACCUGAGGCCACUAGUCUACAAAUCAAUGUCAUUUUUCUCUGGGUUAGACCCGAUUAGUAUGCUUUUUACAAUUUUCAAAUCCUGACGUUUAGUUUUCUUCAUAUUUUACUUGCAAUUUGUUUUGUGAAGUACUAAUUAUUACACGUAGCGAAUUAGUGAUCACUAAACAAUGAAUAAAAAAAUCAGAAUAAUUUAUGUUCUCCUUUUCUAUCAUUGGUAAUGGUAAACCAAGCAUAUGGGAACUAACAUCUGUCUCCAAAUGAACAUCCACAUGAGCAAAUUAUUUUUGUUGUAGGUAUCAAUCACAUGUAUAAAAGCUUCAAUCAAGAAGAAAAAGAAAAAGAACAUAAAGCUAUCUCGUCUUUUUUUAUAAAUUUUGUUAUCAGUGCAACAAUUACUUAUACUUUUGGAGAACCAACAAUUUUUUUUUUUUGUCGAGGAGACCAACAAUAUAAACUGAUACUUUGAAAAAUAAAAUUGUUAUAGACAGCUUGAGAAAAUCGGAAAGGGAUAGAAAAAGAAAAGUACAAAGAAGAUAGAAUGAAAGGUUCAAUUUCGACCACAUAAGCAACAAGACCUUCGACCAACAAAGAAAAAAGGAACAAGACCAAUAAUCGUAACGCGACAGCACAACAACAACACUAAAAAGGAUGUCAUGUCUCUUUGAAAGAAGUUUUGGUUAGGGAAAGGGAGGACCAUGUCGUGUUUCACAUGCUUGUCUUCCAUUUUUCGUUCCGAGAUAUUGCCAUGUACAAAUAAAACUCUUAUUAAAACUCCGAUUUUUCGUUUUGAAUUUGAGUGUUUUUUCAGAGAUAUGAUUUUUGAAAAAAUAUCUAUAAAAAUUAUUCGAAUAAUUAAAAUACAAUGUAAAAUUAUCUUCACAAAAAUAUUCAUCAAAUACACUUAUUUGAAUAAUCUCUCAAUUAAAGCUAUUUCUGAUAAAUCAAUUACAUAUACAUAGCUCAAAGUGUAUUAUUUUUUUCUAACAUAACAUGCACAACAUUUUGAAGUCAUCAAAGUGUAGGAUGAUCAUGAUCCUAUAGAGUCAUGAUUACCCCCACUUUUAUUGGUUGAAUUUCUGAAUCUUGGAUAACAUAUUGUGGGCCAUAGCCAUAGAUGAGCUGUGCUAGGGAGUGAGUAUCUGGGGGUGAAUAUACUCUUGCCGACACAACCCCAAGCUCCAACUGCCAUUCAAACGAGCUCCACCACCGGCCAUAAUAAAUUAUCUUAGUCAAGAAGAAAAGGAGGGAUUUGGUUCCCACCUCAACUUUUUAGGGUUUAUCUCCUUUUCCCUGAAAAUCAUCUUGUAUUAGUGUUUGUCCUGUUUCAAUUUCUCUCUCACCUCACACCUAUCCAACUAUGUUAAUUUGAUUGGAUAACGUGUCAGAUUUUAUGCAAAGAGGACCCAUUUAUCCAUAAGUAGUUGGGUCAGUUCACUCACCACACCUUUUUUUUUUUUUUUUUUUUAUAUAAUUUUUUUUUAAAUAUAAGCGAUAUUGAAGGAGUCGGAUUUUCUCACACUGAAAAUGUGUCGAGUUUCAAACCUGAAACUACUGAUCUGCAAGUCCCAUGUUCACCACUCACCCAUAACUUAACACAUCACACAUGCUUACAAAUCAUUUUUAUUUUUAUAGAGCUUGAAGUUUAUAAUAAAUUGGUUAAUUAACAUAGGUUUUCAGUAACAAAACAUAAGUUUUCGAUGAAAUUAUAAAUUUUAUAGCCACCUUGAUCACAAUUAUCACAAACUAUUACUUGAUCCAAGAGAAGUAGACGGCAAUCCGCAACAGUCAUUUAUCUGUGAAUUAUUUCUCACUACCAGAUGGCCCCAACCAGAGCAUUUCCUCCACUUAUUCUCUCUCUUACUCCAACAUGGAUUAAGGGGGGGCAGCAAAUUAGCAAUCUUGCCGGAAUGUUUUCCUACUGAUUAGUGUCUGAACGCUUAAUUUUAUCUAUUUUAAAUAUAUAUCUAUAUAUAUAUAUAUAAAAUAAAAGGUAGAGAAUGGUAAAAUAUUCAAAAUACCAAAAAAUAUCAUUGGUUAAUGUAAAUAUUAAGAAUUGAAAUUAUUAAUUAAAAAAAUUAAAAUUAAGAGAAAAAUCAGAAAGAAUCCUAUUUUUAUUACCCAUUAUCUUUUUAAUUCUAAAAUAAAUUUAAUUUUUUUUUAAAAAAAAAGCAUCUCACAGGCGCUGAAGCGCGUGUGAAGAGGCUAGUAUAAAAUAAUAAAAAAACCAAAUGACAAAGUUUAUGUUCAAUGAGAUGCUUGAAUGUUUAUUAAUAGACUAACCUCUUCACAUGCGCUUCUGCUCUUGCGAGAUCCUUUUUUUUAAAAUUAACAUUUAUUUUAGAAUUAAAAAAAUAAGGGCCUUUUAUCUGAUUUUUCUUUUAUUUUUAAUUUUUUUAAUAUGAAAAAGUAUGAAUUUACCAUAUUAUUCUCAUUUAAUUAAUAAUUUCAAUUCUUAAUGUUUACAUUAACCAAAAGUAUUUUCUGGUAUUUUAAUUGUUUUACCAUUCUCUAACUUUUACUAUAUAUAUAUAUAGAUUAUUUAUCAUGAAAACAAAAUAAAAUAACAUAUAUAAAAAUUAUUCCAUAUAGAAUUUAAUAUUCAACUAUUUCUUCUACAUGCCAAAAAUGUCGCGUUGAACUUAACAUCUAACAACUGCAAUGACCCGAACAAUAAAGGAAGCUACUGCUCUGGCCAUGUCUAUCUACCAAUGAGUUCAGUCCACGAAUUUCUUAAAUAAAACUAGAUUUGAAUUAUUUUGAUGGCAUUUUGUGACUCUCAUUCUGCAUUAUAGUAUAAUAAUAUAAUACGAUUUAACUCAUAUAAUAUGAAUACAAUUGUCUACUUUUUAUUAAAGAAAAUGUUAUCAUAAUACCCCACCUUAGAUGGGUAUCUACCCAUCACUUUACAUUUCAAUUUAUAGAGAGGACAGCAAAUCCUAACCGUUCACCAAAGCAUGGCACGUGGCAAAAUCAAGAUUAUCCAAUUUUAAGAUAUUUAUUAUUAGGAAAAAAUUUUAAAAAUAUCACUUGUACUUAUAUAUAAUUUCAAUUUGUCACUCAAAGAAAAUUUCUAAAGAGAUAUUAUUUUGAUUUAUCGAAAUUCCUAAAUUAGAAUAUGUGGCAUGUAAAACACACGCAGAAUUUUGGAUAGAGUUACAGUGCCAUACGACAAAUUAAGCAUUUUGAAAAAUUGAGAUGUGAGUUCUCUUAAAUAUUUGUUUUACGAUGAUGAAAUUGUAGAUGUGACAUUUAUAAGGUUUUCCCCUUCCUUAAAAAAUCAAACCACUUUUAACCUAAGGUUAUAUUUGAGCAUGCGACAGGAGAGAGUGAAGAGCCGAGGAAAAGAAGUUUCGCACCAGCGCAUUUAUAAAUACCCACCACCAUGCACCCAACUGUCUCACACCAUCAAAACCUCUUCUCAUAUUAAUCUUGCUCUCCAUCGUCCCGUUUCCGAUAUAAUACCCAAAAUACCCCGCCAUGUCUGAGGAGAAGCACCACCACGGCCUCUUCCACCACCACAAGGAUGAAGACAGACCCAUUGAAACCUCAGACUACCCUCAGUCUGGUGGUUACUCUGAUGAAGGACGUACAGGCAGCGGCUACGGUGGUGGUGGUGGCUACGGCGAUGGUGGUGGCGGCUACGGGGACAACACUGCUUAUUCUGGUGAAGGACGUCCCGGCAGCGGCUACGGUGGUGGUGGCGGCUAUGGAGAGAGCGCUGAUUACUCAGAUGGCGGCCGUUACAAGGAGACCGCUGCAUAUGGCACCACUGGCACCCAUGAAUCUGAAAUUGACUACAAGAAGGAGGAGAAGCACCACAAGCAUCUUGAGCACCUAAGCGAGGCCGGGGCUGCUGCUGCUGGUGUUUUUGCCCUGGUAUGGAUUUAACCACCUUUUAUAUAUGAAUCUUCUAAUUUUGUUCAUGAUUUUAGUUAUAUAUUAACCUUAAAUGUGAAGGAUCACAGUCAGAAAUUCAUACAUUUUCAAGGCUCAUUUCCCAAUAACUAAUUAAUCAUGCAUAGUAAGCAGAUCAUUGUAUACAACGGUUGUAUGUAAGAAUUUCUCGACGAAGCAGGGCGAAUGCUUUUAAGCUCCUUAGGCCUUGUCAACAUAACAAGAGAAGUGUGAAGAGUAAAUCUUCUCAAGUAUCAAAUGGAUUAAGUUUUUCUGAGACUAAUGUAAUUAAGAUCUGUCCCAGAAAUAAUUUGACAAAAUUAUAAAGAUAUUUUCAUUUAACAAUUGUAUCCAGAUGAGACAUAUAAUACAAUUAAAAUACCAGAUCCUAAUUAAUUAACUCUUAUUUAAUUUAAUAAUGAUCAUGAGAUGUGAUGUGAUGUGCAGCAUGAGAAGCACGAGUCAAAGAAAGACCCAGAGCAUGCUCACAGGCACAAGAUAGAGGAGGAGAUUGCUGCAGCAGCUGCAGUUGGGUCUGGUGGGUUUGCCUUCCAUGAGCAUCAUGAGAAGAAAGAGGCAAAGGAAGAAGAGGAAGAGUCUCAUGGAAAGAAGCACCACCAUCUCUUCUAAAUCUACAAAUAAAUACUAUAUUUUAUAUUUAUAUAUUGUGAUUUUACUUAUCUGUUAUGAGUGAGGUUUGAUCUCAACAAUGUUAUAAUUGUUGAGUGCUUAUGUGUGCUUGUUAUAUGAGUGCUAUGUAUCUAUCUAUUUCUCGUUGUUGAUAAUAAAUAAUAUCGUUUACUUGAUGUUAAUUUCUAUAUUAUUAAUUGGUCUUCUUUUUUCUUCUAAGAUAGAAAAUAUUAUUGUUCUCUUCUUGUGGUGGUGGUGGGUGUUAUCUUAGCCUCUUCUUAAGGAUAUUGCCUCUCUCUUUCUUUGGAAGGAGACAUUCUUACUUAGUGCAAAUCACAAUUUGACAUAUAUGUAAAAAUAAUUCAUAAAAAGCACCAAAACAAAAAUCUCAACAUACAUAUUAAUCUGUGAUUGGCAGAAAAAUAGAAGCUCUUAUUUCCAGGGAGUGAGGCAAGUAUUUUGCCCUCCUUAAUUUCCAUCAAGGUCACGAUUUAUUUUGUCAAUCCCAACUUUAGUAAAUUGACUUAGCAAGUAUCUGGCCCUAUCAGAGAACAAUACGUGGAUAUUGUGCACUUGAUUUUCAAUCGUGAGACCAUCAUGUUCACAAUAGUGCCAUUUAAUAUAAACAUAAAUUAAUUAUUAUUUUUAUAAUAUUUUAUACAAGAGAUACUGGAGAAGGAGGAAACUUAAGAUCUUAUAUGGAGGAGUAAAUUGGGGCUUCACUAAAUUAAUUGAAUAUGAUAUUUUACUCUCGUGAAGAAUUUCUUGAAUACGUGAUAUUAGAGUCUUUAGAUGAGCGAAACCGCAUAUAAUUAUAAUAUAUAUAUAUAUAUAUUUAGGAUCCAUAUAUUUAAUUUAUUAAUUUUUAUAUCGUAUAGUAUAAAUCCAUCUUCUAGUCUCUUUCAUGUGAAGUAAAGGGUCCCGGGGAAUAAUGAUAAAAGCAAUUAUGUCUUUCUCUUCCUUCUUCGUGCCAUUUAAGCCAAAACGUAGGGUAGCCAUCCAUUACAUAACGAAUUUUUGUUUAUGAAAAGUAUUACCUUCAUCAAAAUCACGGAAAAAUGACUAAAUAGCUCUCUUAAAAAACCCUUUCCAUUUAACAAUGAUGAAAGUAAAAUAUGCUCACAUUACAAGUGAGCAAUGAGGGGUUGACUCUAAUGACCCUAUACCUUCUUUCCUCCCAAUAAUAAUUUUGAGUGAAUGUGCAACUCAAAUUUUAACUCUCUUUAUCAUUCUUAUCACAAAUCGUACUUGAAAUUUUCGAAAUUCAUCAUUUUAGUCCCCCACAUUGCAAAUCGAUCAAUAUGACGUUUUAGUACAUACCUUGCCACCUUGGCUCAUAAGAUAAGGGAAGGCGGUGGAUAGAUUAUUGUCUUGGAAUUUUUCAAAUGACAACGAUGGAAUUUAAGAAACCCAUAUUCCAUAAUUAUUUGCAAGAAAAACUUAUAAUCUUUUUUUGGGUUUAUGUAUCCAAAUGUAAGGGAUUAGUGUGUGUGUAUAUAUAUAUCCCUUUUAUUGAUGGAUUCUUCAAAUAAUUUUAUUUGAGGGACGCACUACCAUACGAAUUUUUUUGCAACGAUCCAAACAAUCUAUUUUUUAAGUCUUCAUUCAUAGAUCAUCUUUACAAAAAAUUAGACAAAUCGAAAACUGAUUAGACAUCCAAUUGUGUCUUACAAAAUCAAUGAACAUGGGCUUCAAGAAGGUACUAAAAUUUUAAUUAUUUAAUUGAGUGGUCAAAUUAUAUCAGAUUGAAGUGAUUUUUUAUAGAGAUGAUAUUUGAAUGAAUAUCUACAAAAUAGAAGGUUUGGAUUAGUAAAAUAUAAUCCGGAGUAGGCCCUACAAGAGUGUCUCUCAAAUAAGCUUAUUUGAGGGAUCCCUCAAUGAAAGCUCUUUGUGUAUAUAUAUAUAUAUAUAUAUAUAUCUAUUUUUUAUUGCGUACUUCAAUUUUAUGCAAAUGUUAAAUCCAUCAUACUAUCUAGGGGUGGGCAUGGUACGGUAUAGUAUGGUAUUAAGCAUGUACCACUACCGAUACCGGAAAUUUAAAUCGGUAUGGUACGGUAUAGAAUUAUGAUUUGCUAAAAUUUGUACCGUACCGUACCAUGCCAAAUCGGUAUCAGUACAGUAUCGGUACCAUUUCGACACUAAAAUGACACAACUAAAAAAUGAACUAAUUCAAUAUUCAACACAUUCAUUCACCAAAAUAAGUGACGCCUAAGUUACAAAUUCAAAGAUAUUUUAGCUACUGAUAUUUUAGGCAGGGCUCGGCCCAGGGUCAUUCCUUGUUAGUUUAGUUUGUUGUCGGCUUAGUCCUACCAUUUAACCAAAAGAAAAAAAGCCUCCAUCUUAAUCAAGAUUCUAAGUGACUUUUCUACUAACAAAAAGUAAAGAGUCCAAGGAUAAUCCUAAAAUCAAAUGGUGAUAGGCACUAAUUUUAUUAAGAGAUAAAAGUACAUACUAUUUCUUUCUUUUCUUUCACUCAAGGAGUCUUGGUUGAAUACUUUACAACUAUUUUAUUUAUUAUAUUCUCAUCAUGAAAACCUUUUCACCUAUAAAUCAAAAAUUACUAAUUGAGUUGCUUGAAGAAAGAUGACUUUUGCCAAAUAAAUCAAAGAAAAAGCUUUUAAUUAUCAAAUGAAUCAAAGAAAAAGGCUCUAUAAACAAACACACAAAGGCAAUCAAAAUUAUAUUUAAGUACUAUUCAGUACGGUACGGUAUUGACCGGUACCAAAAUCUUGAUACCGCUACUAUACCAUACUCUAUUGGUAUGGUAUGGUACGGUACCAAAUAUCUUCCCAUACCAAAUGAAACGGUAUGAAAUUGGUAUGGUAUGGUACGGUUAUGGUAUGGUUUCGGUAUUUCGGUUUAAGAUGCCCACCCCUAACUAUCUAGCUUUCAAUGACUAAACGGUCAAAUGGUAUUAAUUCUACACCCUCAAUUUUUUGGUAAAAAUCUUGUUCGAUAGAGAGAAAGCUCGAUACCUAUUUGAUAGGUGUUUUUAUAAAUUUAAAAAAAAAAAAUUAGGCAUGAUUUUGUAAUACAAUAUUCGUUCAGGUUAAGAAUGGUAAAUUAACCUUUAUUUUUCUUUCUGACAUCAACGGGGUGAGGGCACUGGCGGACCCAUAAAUUUUUUAGCGGAGGUGCAAUAUUGACUAAGUAUGAAAAAUAGUUUUUCGGAAUAGUCAUCUUCUCAAGAUAAUUUUUGGCGUCUUUUAUUCCUUACACAUCAAAUAAGAAAACUUGAUUUUAUGAGAUUUUAGUAUGAAGUAUAUAUUGACUUAAUGAGCCAUCAUUUUUAGCCUAAAUCGUAUUUUGCACUAAAACCGAUUUUUCAUAUUUUGAUUUGGUAGGAAUUUGAUUUUCUAAUAUUUUUAUUUGAAUCCAAAUGGGAAGUACUUCCUAAAUUAAUGUAACCGCCACUAGGGGGUGGGGGGUGGGGAGUGGGGGAGAGAAACCUACUGGCAUCCGUUGACAAUAAAUAGAAAUAUAUUUAGUUUUCAAGGUGUAAUAAGUGAAAAGUUUUUUUUGAAGAAAUGUCUUCCAUACCGGCCGAGAGAGAGAGAGAGAGAGAGAGAGAGAGAGAGCCAAACAAUCCAGACCGUCCACCAAGGCUUGGAUAACUAGCAAAUCAUGUGAUGUGGCAAGAGCAAGAGAGCCCCACUUCAGGGGGGAGAGAGAAGAGAGAGAGAGAUCCAAACGAAUCCAGACCGUCUACCAAGGCAUGGAUAGGUAGCCAUGCAUGUGGCAAGAGCAAGAGAGCCCCACUUUAGGUGGAUAUUUUACGUACGAGCUUGUGAUAGAGAAGAGCCACAAAUUAAAGCCAGAAAGAGAGUUUUGGGACAUCCAACGCUUAUAUAAGCCCCCCUAUCACCAUGCAUACCCAACGCAACACCCCUUACCUCAUAAUCUUCCUUCAUCCUCGCAUUUUCUUCAAAAUACCCAAAAUACCCCUCAACAUGGCUAACCAGGAACAGCACCGCCUCGGCCUCUUCAACCAGGACAGAGAAGAAGACAAAUCCUCAUCCUUCUCUCAGCCCGGUUAUGGAGAUCAAGGCCGCACUGGUGGUGGUUACGGCGACAGCACUGGCUAUGGCGACUCCACUGGUUACUCUUCUCAAGGACGUGCCGGUGGUGGUGGCGGCGGCUAUGGCGACAACACGGAUUACUCCGGUGAAGGACGCCGUACUGGCGGAGGAGGCUACGGCGGCAGCACUGAUUACUCUGGUGGUGAAGAGCGUCGUGCUAGUGGCGGCGGUGGCUAUGGCGACAGUUACUCUGGUGAAGGACGUCGUACCGGCGGCGGCGGCUAUGGAGACAGCACUGAUUACUCUGGUGAAGGACGUCGUACCGGUGGGGGCGGCGGUGGAUACGGAGACAGUUACUCUAGUGAGAGACGUACUCAAAAUGUCGGUGGCGACGGAGACAGUUACUCGGAAGAAGGACACGGGGGCCGUGGCGAGACCACUGCUUACUCUUCUGAUGGGCCCCGCGGCGGACAGCACAGUGAGACGUCUGAAACCUAUGGGUCUCGUGACUCUGGAGACUACAAGAAGCAGGAGAAGCACCACAAACAUCUCGAGGAACUUGGGGAGCUAGGUUCUGCUGCUGCCGGCACUUAUGCAUUGGUAGAUUAAUGUUUCAACCCUAUUUUUCUGAUUUAAUUUAUUAUUUUAAUUAGGCAUACUAAUUGUGGAUUUAUGAUCAUUCUCAAAGGCAUAUUAGUGCGCAUGAUUUGUGAUCUUAUUGACAAAAUAUAUAAUUGCCAAUCCUACUUUGCGUUCACAUAAGUAUAAUGAUUAUGUAAUUUCCAUUUUUUUUUCAAACACUAUUGAAAAUAUAAAAGGAGAAACUUUGACCAUAAAGUUGUUUUUUUUUUUUUUCGGCAGUAUGAGAAGCACGAGGCAAAGAAAGACCCAGAGCAUGCUCGCAGGCACAGGAUAGAGGAGGAGAUUGGGGCAACGGGGGCAGUUGGUUCGGGUGGGUAUGCCUUCCACGAGCAUCAUGAGGAGAAAGAGUCAGAGAGAGAAGAGGAAGAGUCUCAUGGAAAGAAGCACCACCACCUCUUCUAAAUAAUCUAAAUUAAUCAAUAUCGAUCUUUAUUGAUUACCUAUUUAAGUGGUUAAUUAUUUGUGUGCAUCC